CGAGUCAGAACUUAGACUCCAGCCUUGACUGGGCCAGGGGCUCAGGAUCCAGGGAGACCUCUCCUUCCGGGGGGUCAGGACCUCCUGUCCUGGCUCCUCCCCUGGGUCUCUGAUGGCUGUCACUCACCAACUCCCAGUGACCCCAAGUGAAGGCUGCACCUAGAGAGGUCAUCAUCUCCCCCACCAUACUUGCCCUUCCCUGUUCCUUCCCGCUUGAUGAUAUAUGUCCUCUCUGCUUUCGUGCCCACCGGAUUCCGAGGCAUCUGCAUGGGGCUCGGUAGGUUUGGAAGUCCAGAGCAUUUGGCUGUUUUGUUUGAGACCUGGUUAUGGUUGUGGGAUUUUUUUUUUUUUUUUUUUUUUUGUCAGCUGCCUGUUAUAUCAAUCACGGAGUUGAGAUCUAUUUAUAGGUUGGGAGUACUGUGUCCUUAGUCACAAAGAGACACAGACAGGGGACUGUCAGCUGGUGCCGGAGGAGCCGAACAACGAGUCAUCAGCCACUGGAAACACCUGAGAGUGACCGUUCACGGCAGCCCCGUUCCCCACGCCAGCGCUAGCAUGUAAGUCACCGAACUUCUCCCUCUGGUCCUGCCCAGACUGCCCUGGACCUCCCUGUCCUUCUCCCUACACACCCCCCUUCUCUCUCUCUCUCUCUCUCUCUCUCUCUCUCCCUCCCUCUCUCCCUCUCUCUCUAAUGGAUAAAAAUAUCUCCCACGCCUGCUUUUUCAUCCUGGUUUUCUGCACACGAAAGCAUCCCCGCAUGGCGGAGGGAAAACGUCGCCUCCCACAGCCUGUCAUGGGAAGGUCAGAGGGUCUCGGGAUGGCUCCGUGGGUUACACCAACUCAUUCAGAAUCAGUAGGUCCCGUUUGUUUGUUUUUAUUUGUUUUUUUUUUUUUUUUUGCAGAGGAAAAGUAAGUAAAUCAAAAGGGCAAGGCAAAGUUUACACGCGGCUCAGCAGGGCGGUUAUGUCUCCCAGCGUGAAAACUUUGAUUUGCUGGCAGCUCCAGCAUUUGGUGAGCUGGGGAAGGUGACAGAGGGGGAAGACCCACUUCCCAGGGACAGGUGCUGAUGGAAGGGUCCCACAGAUUUGGGCUCACCCUGGCAGCUUCCACGUACAGCGAGAGUUGAGACAGCCCCAGUGAUUAGCUUUUCUAUUGCGCCUCAAAGGGAAGUGACUUCUUUUCCCUCCAUGGAGCAAGUUUGCUUUGAGAAGUCUGAGAUGAGAGCUGAGGAGCUGUCUUGCCUUGCAGGCUUCAGCUGGCUCACUAACUGGCAUUUUCUUAAUCCUGAAAGGGGAACUUGGGUGGGGGAGGAAGAGUGUCAGAAAGGAAGGAGCCAGGUGUGGAGAGGUGCAGAGGGUAUCACUCUACAUGUUUCACCAAAGGAGAAACUUAAUAUUAUGAUUCUUGUCAAAGCCGGGCUUGUUUCAGACAAUCCAACAGUGUGUGCACAUCGGGUGGCUCUGGAGAUGCCCCCGCCCCAGUUUAGCCACUGUCCAUCGUGCACAGGGCCUACCUGUCGUGAGCAUCCAGUGGUGGGAUGUUAGUUUUCUGGAUAAUAGAUAGCAUUAACCCCCAAAGCUGCAUUGGAGAGAUUUGGGGAGAUUCGCUAUAUAGCAGUUAUGCAACAGUAGUCCUAAAUUUGGGGGGGAAGGAUUAUGUGAUGAUAUUUAACAUAUACUUUGCACAACUUUAAACAUGUAUCUCAUUCUUUUUGCCAUGGUUUCUAUUCACUUGUACAAGGGUUACCAGAUGUUAUCUUGCAGAAGAUGACUUCUUGAUUUGUUCCCAUAAACAACAUCCUAACAAAGGAACGAUCUUUCCAACAAAUUGAAAGCAUUAAACAAAGCAAAUGAGUCUAAAUUGUUUUGGAUUACAAACAAAAUAGUUUUGUUAGCAAAAGAGUUGAUGAAAGUUAACACAGGCCUGCCCACACAUCCAGAGAGGCAAUUUGAUCUCGUUUUUAUUUUGAUGGUUAUGAAACCUUAAACUUUCCUUUUUUGUUGUUCUUUAUUUUUCACUUGCAUUUUAUUUAGAGUUAUUAAUGUCUUUAAUUCCUUUGUUUAUUAUUUUGGAGAGUGGAAAGCAGGUCAGGAAGCAAUGAGAAAUUAGAAGAUGAACUUUAUGUGUCCAGGUAGUAAGGACACGUUCAUCAGUGGAGAAAUCCAGAAUAAGGAGUUUGGUGUGUGUGUGUGUGUGUGUGUGUGUGUGUGUGUAGGGGUGGUAAAUGUCACUAUUUAAGACCUAUUUUGGAAACUAAAGUCCAUGAAAUCCAGAAGGAAAAAAGAGAACUAAGUGAAUUAUACAUGUAGGAUUAUUAAUUCUCCUGUUGCAAGGACUGUUUUGAUAGACGCAUCCUGCUAAGGUUUUCCCACAACAAUGCAGGAGUGGGAGCUGGUGGAUGAUUGUUAAUUAAAGUUCAUGUGAAUCAAGUGAUCAAGACACUUCACUCAAAUCAGAGUGGGCCACUGUGUGCAAAGCUGAACUUCCAGGUCUUUAAAGUCUCAGAGGCUCAGAGAAAGUGUGGAACUUUUUGAACCUUUUGGCACAAGAGCAGGUCCUUCCUUCUCCUCCUCAGCAUGCACCCUAGGGCCUGGCUGGCCCCAGUGCCUGGUUGAGUGCAGUGGGGGAGAGUCCUGCAUUCCUGAACGAAUCCUGUGCUCUCGUUAGCAUUAACACUGUGCAGAGAAGAAUAUUUGUUGGAACACUUAGGUGAGAAGCACCCCUCCCCCGGGCGAUUAGUGGAUGCUUUUGGGGGGCUGAGGGCUUGUUUGGUAGAGUGCUGGGGGCCCUGGCUUUCAUCCUCAGGUUCCAGAUGUGGUUUAGUUAUAGAGAUGCAGUUGGGGGGAACUUCGGUGCAUUUGCAUAAGGCAGCCUCUGAUUACUUACUUUCUGCUUCAGUAACUAUUAAUUUUAUGUGGUCUGAGCUCCCAUCAAACUCAUUUUUUUUUUGCAAACUGAUUUCUUAAAUACAAUUGGUCACGGGGCCGUCUGUGACUUCAUGUCUGCCAAAUCUAACCCAUUCCUUCCUUGUCGUUGUUUAAUCUCUGUGGCUGGAAGCGAGCAGUUGCCUGUGAGCAUGCCCUAUCAUUUGAUGCGGCCUCCCGUCCUGGAGCACACAGGCAUCCAAUUCUGACCUCCUCCCAAAUUGGGGACAGGGGGGGCAAUGAGCAGGUGCUUUGGAAUACAGCUAGCUCAGGUGUAGGACCAUCAAUCUCCAGGAGGAAGGAAUUGCAAAUACCUGGAAAGUGCUUCCCUAAUUCAAACGAUUUUACAUAGCUGAGGUCUCUCCAAAUAUCCCAUAAAUAAAAAAUGGCAGCUGGCAGGAUUUUUAGACCAUAGACCAUGGUGCACCUCUUCCUAUCACUGCACUACCGUAUAUCUGUCCAUCUUUUUCUUAUCUCUAUUUUUACAUUUCAUUAUCCUCCCCCCCUUUUCUCUCCCUCCUCCCUUCCCUCCCCCUUCUCGCCUUUCCUGAAAACACAUUUCUAUCUGGCACAGAAAAUAAACUCAGAUUGUGGGUAGUUAUGUUAAUCUAAUUCAAUCCUCAGCGGGUUAAGAGUGAAAUUCUAAUAGUGGAACUGUUGAGGGCUUUUUUGUUAAUGGCUCGGGGAUUACAUUGAGUUAAAGGCUCAUUUCCUAAUCAAACAGAGAGGGAGAGAGUGACUCCGAAUAUUUAUGAGUCUCCCAGUGAGAGUUUAAACAUUCAACUCCAAAAGCUGGGUUUCUGCAGGAGGAAAGAGUUAAAACCCCUCAGGGCUGCUGGGGAAAAAAAUUAAACCAGUUAAGCCAUCAGCGUUUCCAGGCUGCUGUACAACUUCUGUGCUCUGCAAAGUAGAAGGUAGGGUGGAGCUGGGGGCGAGGGGAUCAGUUCACAAGGCCACCCAGAGCAGACCCGGGUCCUCUGCUCACCCAGGGCCUGGAGGGGCUGGGCGCUGUUACAUCCUCAAGCCAAUCUUCCUCCUCCAGCAUGCAGGUGAGAUGUGGAGACAGCGGUGUGGCUCAAUCACCAGCCCCUGGAGAUCCCCCUGCUGCCCGGUGAGGCUAGAGGAAUGGAGCCUCCCCUACUUUGGUCCUGCCUCUGACGUGCUGAGUGUUCUUCCCUUUGGAAAGUAACUCACAUGUCUUCCCACUCAGCUUCAAUCCCAUGAGGAUCUCAAAGCCCAUCUGGCUCUCUGUGCCCAGGUGGAGAACUGAGGGCCAACUUGGCCAAGGUGGAGCAAUGUCAAGGCCAAGCUGAGGUCAGGAGUCUAAGCCCAGGCAAGCCUUCUGGCCUCCCUCUCCCCUCAUUCUCUUGAGUACGCUAGAGGAAAGGGGAACGUCAGGGCCAUAUGGCUGUUAAACAGGCCCUGGCUCCCCCCCCCCCGGAAUGAGAUUUCCUUCUUCAGUUUGGAAAGGGAGGGCAGGAGUCCCGGAUGCAGGGCGAUUCAGCGGGCUCCAUGGGCACUGGUGCUUCUCUCUACCACCAACCAAGUGAGCAGUGACUGUUCCUUACACUUGGGCUUUUUUUCCAGCUCCAUGAGGUCAGCAGAGGCACCAGGCAGCAGAAUUUCUUUCUUUCUAGGAUCCUUUGGCUUUUUUGUUUCCCUAUCCCUGGGAGCUGUUCUUUCUCUUAGUGCUUCAAACGUGGUGGCCCAUGAGUCUUGUGUUUGCCUUUUCAUGUCCCGGUAGCAUUUCAACACAGCUACUUCAGCUUUUCUGUGAAGUCGUCUCCCUCUCAGGGUUUUCACAGCCCCUAGCUGACCUCCUCCACAUGGCCUUCACUGCCACCAGGACCCCCACAGGAGCAGGGCUGUGCCUCAGUCUCCCCUGUUAGCGCAGCUCCAUGGUGAUCAGUCAUGCCCCCUGCCCUCACAUGUGACUCCUGUGGAUGGUAUGGAGCUGAGGUUCAGAGCACAGGCUGAGUCGGACAGCCAAGGGUCACAUCCACCCUUUCUCAGCUGAGGUACCAGAGCUACCAAACCGCUCAAGGUCUCCCUUUUCCCCUCUGCUAAAUGGAGAUAACAACAGAACCUGCCUUGUGGGCUGCUGGAAAGACAAGAUGCCCCAAAGUGCUUAGCCCUGUGCCCAAUAAGCGUUGGCACUUUUAUUUGCUUGGCACAGUAUUCCCUUCUGCACACAGAGGAUUGCCCCACUAGACAGCCUCCCACGCCUUCCCCUAGGGUGGUUAAGCUGGGCGCUGAGUCAGCAAAACCCUGCUUCACCCUCCAACCACUAGGGAGGUUCACUGCUAACCACUAGGGCGCCAGAGCUCAGGGUGUGUUGGGAAGACCUUGGGGCUUUUCAGACCCCAAGGGAGGGCAAAGGAGGAGCUGGGCCCAGGCAGCAUCCCUCCAUUGGAGAAGGCCUGACUCUCCACUCUGUGGAAACAGUUUCGUCCAUCUUUUGGCUUUGGCUCUCAGGAGCAGUUUGGUUCUUAGGUCCCACUCAGCUUUAGUCCCGUGAAGAUCUCAAAGCCCAUCUGGCUCCCUGCACACCUCUCUACCCCACAGUAUCAGAGGGCAGUUUGCACGUUCCCAUGGGUAGACCAGGCCUGGCCUGGCUAGAAAGAUGGCACAUGCAUCUACAAGGUGGCAGGUGGCUGCUCUGUCAGCCUCCCUCCUAAUGUGACCACUUGACCAAGUACAUAUCACCUGCAAGAAAUGGCCUCUCCUGAGAUGCCCUAGUCCCGAUGUCCUCAACACUCCCGUAUCUCUGCAUGGGGACUCACUGUACUGCCAGGCAAAAGUCCCUUCUCCUUUUCUUCCUCCAUGGGUAGCCAUUUGGUUCCUGAUCAAAGCAGGGGUCUGGAACCCGAAUCACACUGCCACUCGAACUUAGAAAGUGUUCCGUCUUCUCACUGCCUCCUUUCUGCUCCCCCUCCAAGCAGCUGGCAGGUACUAUUCUAAACACUUGGAUUGCCACUGUCUCCCUUUUGGCCUCCUUAGUCUUCACCUUUGAGGUCCCCAGUGCCUAGUGCACUGGCUGGCACAUAAUAUAUGUUCAACAAAUGCGUGCAAAGUGCAGAAUCUCUCCUCCCCAGGGGGCACUUCAUUCCCUUUGUCCUCUUAAUCAUGCAGGAAUGAUUUNUCUCAAAGCCCAUCUGGCUCUCUGUGCCCAGGUGGAGAACUGAGGGCCAACUUGGCCAAGGUGGAGCAAUGUCAAGGCCAAGCUGAGGUCAGGAGUCUAAGCCCAGGCAAGCCUUCUGGCCUCCCUCUCCCCUCAUUCUCUUGAGUAUGCUAGAGGAAAGGGGAACGUCAGGGCCAUAUGGCUGUUAAACAGGCCCUGGCUCCCCCCCGGAAUGAGAUUUCCUUCUUCAGUUUGGAAAGGGAGGGCAGGAGUCCCGGAUGCAGGGCGAUUCAGCAGGCUCCAUGGGCACUGGUGCUUCUCUCUACCACCAACCAAGUGAGCAGUGACUGUUCCUUUCACUUGGGCUUUUUUUCCAGCUCCAUGAGGUCAGCAGAGGCACCAGGCAGCAGAAUUUCUUUCUUUCUAGGAUCCUUUGGCUUUUUUGUUUCCCUAUCCCUGGGAGCUGUUCUUUCUCUUAGUGCUUCAAACGUGGUGGCCCAUGAGUCUUGUGUUUGCCUUUUCAUGUCCCGGUAGCAUUUCAACACAGCUACUUCAGCUUUUCUGUGAAGUCGUCUCCCUCUCAGGGUUUUCACAGCCCCUAGCUGACCUCCUCCACAUGGCCUUCACUGCCACCAGGACCCCCACAGGAGCAGGGCUGUGCCUCAGUCUCCCCUGUUAGCGCAGCUCCAUGGUGAUCAGUCAUGCCCCCUGCCCUCACAUGUGACUCCUGUGGAUGGUAUGGAGCUGAGGUUCAGAGCACAGGCUGAGUCGGACAGCCAAGGGUCACAUCCACCCUUUCUCAGCUGAGGUAUCAGAGCUACCAAACCGCUCAAGGUCUCCCUUUUCCCCUCUGCUAAAUGGAGAUAACAACAGAACCUGCCUUGUGGGCUGCUGGAAAGACAAGAUGCCCCAAAGUGCUUAGCCCUGUGCCCAAUAAGCGUUGGCACUUUUAUUUGCUUGGCACAGUAUUCCCUUCUGCACACAGAGGAUUGCCCCACUAGACAGCCUCCCACGCCUUCCCCUAGGGUGGUUAAGCUGGGAGCUGAGUCAGCAAAACCCUGCUUCACCCUCCAACCACUAGGGAGGUUCACUGCUAACCACUAGGGCGCCAGAGCUCAGGGUGUGUUGGGAAGACCUUGGGGCUUUUCAGACCCCAAGGGAGGGCAAAGGAGGAGCUGGGCCCAGGCAGCAUCCCUCCAUUGGAGAAGGCCUGACUCUCCACUCUGUGGAAACAGUUUCGUCCAUCUUUUGGCUUUGGCUCUCAGGAGCAGUUUGGUUCUUAGGUCCCACUCAGCUUUAGUCCCGUGAAGAUCUCAAAGCCCAUCUGGCUCCCUGCACACCUCUCUACCCCACAGUAUCAGAGGGCAGUUUGCACGUUCCCAUGGGUAGACCAGGCCUGGCCUGGCUAGAAAGAUGGCACAUGCAUCUACAAGGUGGCAGGUGGCUGCUCUGUCAGCCUCCCUCCUAAUGUGACCACUUGACCAAGUACAUAUCACCUGCAAGAAAUGGCCUCUCCUGAGAUGCCCUAGUCCCGAUGUCCUCAACACUCCCGUAUCUCUGCAUGGGGACUCACUGUACUGCCAGGCAAAAGUCCCUUCUCCUUUUCUUCCUCCAUGGGUAGCCAUUUGGUUCCUGAUCAAAGCAGGGGUCUGGAACCCGAAUCACAGUGCCACUCGAACUUAGAAAGUGUUCCGUCUUCUCACUGCCUCCUUUCUGCUCCCCCUCCAAGCAGCUGGCAGGUACUAUUCUAAACACUUGGAUUGCCACUGUCUCCCUUUUGGCCUCCUUAGUCUUCACCUUUGAGGUCCCCAGUGCCUAGUGCACUGGCUGGCACAUAAUAUAUGUUCAACAAAUGCGUGCAAAGUGCAGAAUCUCUCCUCCCCAGGGGGCACUUCAUUCCCUUUGUCCUCUUAAUCAUGCAGGAAUGAUUUGAAGCCAUGAAUGCCAUGAGUCUUGUGUUUGCCUUUUCAUGUCCCGGUAGCAUUUCAUGGUCCUUGCCCAAGUCCCUUUUAUUCCCUGACCCUCCUGCUUCCAUGUUCCUCUGUCCAUAGAGGGGUGGGGGUGGAGCAGGGGGCGAGGGAGAGAUGUGUGUGUGUGUGUGUGCGUGCGCGUGUGUGUGUCUUCUAUUCACGUGUGCAUGAAACUUCCCAGGAAUUUUAUCCUGUUUAGUAAAGAAGCUUUGUCUAAGUCGAUGUCAGAUUUAAUUGCUGAACCGCUCUCUCCUGUGACUGUUUCCCUCCUUUGCCACACUCUCUUCUCUCGCUUUUGUAAGCCUACCUGCUUUCUCUGGCUGUUUAGACUCUGUGGGGCCCCGUGCUCCUCCUCCUACUUUAACCCUGCAGUCCCGGGGGUACACAUAAGAGGGAGACCUUCCUCUGAAGCUUUCCAAAGUGUCUGCUUCCAUUAGCAUGGACAAGGCCUUUGAAAGGUGUCGAGUUAGGAACAUCAUUUUAGGUACCGGAUUCCUCCCAGAACAGUAUUUCUUUUUCUGCUCUCCUGUGGAAGAUGGAGUGCAAAAACUCAGGCUGUUGAGGGUUAAGUGAAGGCAAUGAAAAGUCUAGGCUCUCCUGGGGCCUGGUGGCUGGCUGAGACAAUUGAUUAGCUUGGCUUAGUGAUCUUUCUAGCAAUAUUCAGGAGAGAAAUUAUUGCUGAUUAGGCUGUGUAUGUGUGUGUGUAUGUCUGUGUGUGUGUGUGUGUGUGUGUGUGUGUCUGUGUUUUAGAGUUUCUAUCAGUGAGGGGGCAGGAUAAGAUAGGAGGAAGAAAUGUCAGGAUAACUUGCUCCUAAGUCAGUCCUCAGGAGGGGACCUGCCACCCUGAGUGUAUCUGAGGUUACAGAGCAACCGUGGGUCUUGUGAGCGCCCAAGUCCAUGGGGUAGGCAGGUGAAGGAGCACAGGGCCCCUUCUACCUUCUCUUUGCAACUCCUUGGGAAUCUAUAAUUAUUUGGGAAUUAAGAGCUGAACAAUGGGGCUGGGGCUGUAGCUCAGUGGUAAAGCGCUUACCUCGCAUGUGUGAGACACUGGGUUUGAUCCUCAGCACCACAUGUGUGUUCAUCUACAACUAAAUAAAUAUUAAAAAAAAAAAAGAGCUGAACAAUGAAGUAAAGUGGAAAGAGACCCAGGUUGAGGGCUGCUUCAGUCACAAGCUCUGGUGGUCAGAGGCAGCCUGAUGUGCCACGGAAGGAGGCAGGUACCAGGUGUCCAGCCCAGUCCCAACUCCAGGUUCAGUGGUCAUGAAGGUGCUCAUGCUCCUCAAGAGCUCAGUUCCCUCAAUAGUUAAAUGAGAGAUUGCAGGUUAUUGGGGGCCUCUGGCUCUAAAAGUUUACAUGUUUAGAACUAUUUGUUCUGAUGAACCCAGAACAUUGUGCUCCUACCAUAACUGAUGACAACAGGUCAGCCAGCCUUUGUCCCUGUCACCCAAGGCCAUAGGCCCAGAGUGGCUUCUCCUGGGUUUUGUGGCUCUACCACCAUUUUCCUUGAUCUGUUUUCUGCACUCACCUUUCUCUUCCCUAAGCACAACUGGAGGGUUAGUGGAAAGCUGAUCAGGGCUAAUCGCUCAAAAACAUGGGUCCAUAGAUCUUCUGCGUAUAUAUUUUGGCACUGGGGAUUGAAUCGAAGGGUGCUUAACUCCUGAGCCACAUCUGUAGCCCUUUUUAUUUUUUUUUUUUUAUUUUGAGACAGGGUCUAGCUAAGUUGCUGAGGCUGGCCUUGAACUUGCAAUCCUUCUGCCUCAGCCUCCUGAAUUGCUGGGAUUAUAGGCAUAUGUCACCACACCCAGCCAUCUCUGAUUUUUUAAUUUUGUUUAUAAUUUGCAGAGACCCUUGUUUUGGAUCUUUGUGGUCUUGCUACCCCUCCCUCUGCACCUCUAUCCCUCUGGAAGUUGCAUAGGCUUCACACAUUUGGAGAAGCCCAGGGCACCCAAUCCUCCAGCUCUGCUGACAGUGUUUUGCAGCAUCCAAAGAAAGGAGCCAUUUGGGAUUUGGGAGGGGAGUUGCCAAAUGGGGGACCUCUGUGAGUCCUUGAUUUCACUGUAGCUUACUUUCUUUACCUGCCCAAAGGGAUUAAUCUCUGCUUUGAGUCUCUCAUAAGGUUGGUAUGAAGUUAAAAUAAAAAUCAUAGAAUAAGAGUUCCUUUAAAGAUGGAAGUAUUACCAGUUUUAGAUGAAAUUACUUCCCUGCAUGGGGAAUGCUGUUAAGUUGUAGGGGUAGAAAACAUACUCUAGAGUCCUGAUCCACCUGAUGCCAGCUGCAACUCUGGCCAGGUUUCCACCUCUCCAUUUCACCCUCAAUGUCCUCUUCUACAAAUUGGGAUGAUAAGAACACCUCUUUCAUGGAGUUGCAGGGAUUAAAGAGGACCCGUGAACCAUCCCCUGGACAGUGCCUACUAGAUAAUAACUUCUCAGAGCCAUUGUUGUGGGAAAGAGAAUGACAUUUUGGCCAUUUUGUGAUCCUUUUCCGGGACUCUGUGCCAAACAGGUCAAGAGGGAGGAAACUUUCAAAGUCCCCACAUUUCUCCUGAAGUCCCCUGGACAGCUUGCAAAGAUAGCAAAAGGUGCUGCUAUGGAGGUGGUUUAGAGACACCUGGCUGUCCACUAUGCCCCGCUGAGGGUGGCUGCCACCCACAUCCAGUGACCUUCUGGAGGUGGCAACAUGAGCAUCCUUCUGUUACCUGUCUGGGUUUUGUUUUGGGGUGAUCUGGCCAAGCCUCCUGCCUCACGUGGAAAUCUGCUGUCCAUAGCCUAGCACAUAUCGCUGCCCAUGCGCAGAUGUGAUGCUGGGAAGUGACCCGAACUUGUAUGUCCCGCAGUGUUCCAAGUCUCAGCAGUGUGGUUUCUGCAUCAGGCCGACUCCUCUUUCCUGUGUGGAGUAGCUAGAGAGGCGGCGUGUUUCCCACAGGUUGGACGGUGCACCUUUGGGGAGUCCUCAGCAAGAAAAGAAGAGAGGGAGUAGGGAAGGGCCAUUCCUGUUGCCUCUGAGAAGCCAAUUUGGGUAUUUCAGGGGACUCGUAGAGGUGCCGUCAUGCUCUUAGGGGAGAAUUCCGAAUCCAGACUUGUGGCCAGCCUGAGCGCGUGUGUGCACUGUGCUCGUUCAGGGUAUUGCGGUCAGCCAUCCGUGACUCUCUUCUUUCCCGUCUCGGGCAGAGAGUAAUCUAGAAGGAACGUGUAAUUACUAUUUACUCUGGGGCACUCAAUUGAGAACACCCUCAUGUAAUGACUCUUGAGCUAAUUCUGCCUUCAGAUGGCCAUCUGCUGUGGCUCCUUGAGAAGCCAGUGGGGAUGAGGCGCCGCGGGCAGCCCAGGGGGAAGGAUCGCGAGAUGCAUGUUAGUCCUGUGGGCUCAGGCUUUGCUCUUGGGCAACACGCACACACAGGUGGCAUCUCUCAUAUGCAGGAUCUUCACCCAGCUCUCUGUCCUUAGUGAUAGAAGUUUCAAAGCAGAGCUGUCUGUGAAACUAAUGAAUAGUCUCUGUGGAUCUGUUGGACAGUCAGUGGCAUCCUUAAGGAGUAGAUAUUUAGAUUUUUAGAGACAGGAGGAUACCAUUCACAUCAAGGUUUAAAACAUGCAAAGGAGGCUGUGUGUUGUGUAGGGAGCAAACCUAAGAUGUUCCUGAGAAUGAGAAAGGCCGACUUCAGAGGGAAAGGUCGACUUCAGAGGGAAAGGUCAGGCGCCUAUGAGGGUAUUCUCCACCCCAUCUGCCAGCUCAGGUUUGGUCUGGCUUCUGCAGGCUCCUCCCUGGCUUUCUCCCUCCACUUAUUUUUGGGCUAAGCUUGCCUAAUCAUUUAAGGUGGGGGAUGAGGGCAGUGAGAGGGUGGACGCAUUCUCACUACACCCAUGGAAUCUAUUUGCUAAAAAUAUCAGAAAUAUUACCUUGAAAUCUGACACCAUACCGAUGUGACUGGACACUGUUGUGGAGGCUUCCAAACUGUUUACGGAAAUAAAACUGAUUUUAUAUCAGCAUAUUGAGCAAUCAAGUAUGUUAGCUUCCAGAAGCCACUGCCUGAUGGCCAAGUGUAGUCCAUUCCAUUUUGUGUCUCUCUGCCUCUGCUUCUUGUCUGUAAGAGGGAUGGGGGUCAGAUGGGUGAUCUCCAAGGACUUCCCUGUCCAGCUUUGUGUGUCAGUAUCCCUGCGGGGCAGUGAUCAUCUGCUUCCCCUCCAGAACUAAGAGUUCUGUGGGCAGACACCGGGAGCCCCAUCUCCCAGCACAGUUCCUCGUCAAGACGGGUACCGGAAAUACUUUAAAGGUACUGAUGAAAAAAUGACACAAGCAGAUGCCAACUCCCAACCCAGUAUCAAUGUGACUUUUCCUAGACAUGCCAUCGGCCUGAGUAGUUGUGUCUUUGGUCUCCUCCUUGGUCAGCGGGGAGGUUCUUACCUUUCUGGUGUGACCUGGAAAAUCUCUUAGUAAUAAUAUGUAAAUGAGUUGUCUAAAAAACGCCCCCUGAAAAACAUCACCUCCCUCCCUGCUUUUCUGCAUGGCCAUGCUCUUGUCUAUUUCUGGUUUCCCCCUCUCUACCAUACUCUAUUAACUUAAAAAUAUUACAUUUGGAGACUUUCUAAAUAAAGAGUCCUCAGAGCACAAAGUAUCCCUUUUCCAUUUUCUGUGUCCCUAUGUGCUCCCUUGUAAAAAAAUUUUAUCUUGUUUUUUACUAAGUGGCCUUGAUUUUAUCAUUAACACUGGGACAAUUCUUUUUACUGUGUCUUCACUUAUUUCUAAAAUAUUCACCCCUAAGUCCCUAAGUCUACUCCUCUUGGUCUCUGUGCCCCCUCCCUCCCCUGUCUUUGCCAUUUUAUAGAACUUACAAAGUGAUUCCUUUAUAUGUGGGACCCUUGAUCUCAGGCUUUCCCGAGUCCUCCAUCAAAUUUCCCAGAAGAAUGGUUCUUACAAUUGGACUUUCACGGUGCUGGUGGUCUUGGGUCUCUGUCAUUUCCAUACUGAGCCUGGGGACAUGCUUUGUUCUCUCUCCCCUAAAACUUCAUCUUUUCUUUAACCAGCACUUUUCACAUUGGGGAAGAACCACAUUAUGAAUUUAAAGCUUUAAAAAAAUUCUUAGGUAUCUUUUCUUUUGCUUCAUAGUGUGACGGUUUCCACUUUUUCUUCCCUGACAAUAACCUCUCCUCACCUCAACUCCACUACCACCUGGGACCUAAUCCUGACAUUUCCUCAGACAGCUCUCCUCUGUUCCCUUGUGUUGUUGUUCAUGGCUUGCCUGGUUUCUUGACUUUUUCACAUGUCCCACCUCUGCAGUGGCUCUUGAGAUUGUGGGAGAAGGAAAGAGACAUUUUUUGAGGAUCUGUUAUGUGCUAGAAACUUUCUGAAGUUCAUACAACUUGUCACUGUAAUGAUUAAGAUGUAGGUGCCAUGGUGAUUCCCAUUUUAAGGAAGGGGAAACUGAGGCACUGAGGUUGAGGAUCUUGCUUAAGGUCACCCAGGAGGUAAGUCAUGCCAUCUGAUGCCACUUUCUGUGACAUACUCUGGGGCUGAAAAGGACAACCAGCAAAACAGAAGAAUUCCCUUUUGUGUCAUUUACAUCUAGAUUGGACUCAUUCCAACAUUUUCAGUUUCCCUCUUUUGGUUUUCUUUGAAAUGUGUUGAGUGUCCCCCUUGACAGACCCACAUGAAAGGGAUCCUGAGACUCUAGCUUUGUUCCCCAAGCCCCACAUCCUUGUAAAUAUUGCCACACGGGGGCUUUGGUUGAGAAGGCCCCUUGUCAGUCAGAGCUCUCCGUGGCUGCUCUUGCAGUCAAGCUUUUCCGUAAAUCAGUUUUUCAAAGUCUCUGCAGAGGAGUGUUGGCUGGGACGUAGGCCCCAUCUGUGGGUUGGACAGGUGGACUUGAAAAGCACCUUGUGGCGGGUGCGCUUCCAGGAAGCUGGUUUCGGCCGUCUCCUCCUCGCUGUGCCCCACCUUCCUGCCCUUUAGGGACUUCAUACCCUCUUUGGUCAACAGUGUUUCCAUUCCCUUUAUGUCAAUGGUUUGCUUCUCCCCACCCCACUCCACAUUUCUGGAAACUCAAAACCCGUGGUCCGUCACCUUUCCUGCCACCAGUGUCAUCCUAACUCCUGGGGAUAUGUGUGUGGCCUAGUGGGCUGUGUCCACUGUAUCCCACUGCUGGGCUUCAUUAUGGAUGGAGGGAGGCGGGGUCUUUUGCCAAGACCACAGCCCCCACCUGACUCCUUGCCCACUCUCCCAUGACCUUGAUCUGCUCUCCCCCCCACACCUUGGCUCUUGGGAUGCUAAUCACAUUCCCAAGGAGAGUCAGACUAUCUCCCCACCUUGGAUCGAGUCCAACAUGUGCUCACUGUUUGGGACAAAGUAUUUAUCCUGUCUGUCUGUGACCUUCUGCAGACACAGGUUCACCAGAUUUCUGCGGGUCCUCUGGCUUCCCAGAGGCCUGGUAGCCGUCAGCCUGCCUCCUGCGCAGUGGGUGCAGGCGGCUGGGAUGCCCGUGGACGUUCAUAAGUCACUGACGUGAUCUCCAGUGUUUAGAGGUGCCCCUUCUCACCAGGCUGAGGUGUCACAGUGAACCCUUAGCUGGAUCAGUGACAGUGGUGAGGCCAUUCAGCAGAGAGCCUUUGUCUGCAGCGCCCCCUUUCUUUGCCAACCCUUCCCCCUGCUUUGUCUGAUGUUCUUAGAGUCCCCAGCCCUUGGUGUCUCUUAGUAGAAAGGUUACUGAAGUUCUCCGGGGGGUGGGGGGGGAGGUGGGACAUGACCAUGUGACUAUGCUGCCAGUGGGGCUGCCGGGUCCCCAGCUGCAGGGCGGCGGGGUGGUAGGCGAGCUGCAGGAGGUGCUGGCUUGCUCGCGGUGGCUGUGGCCCAGGCUCUGGUUUUUCAGACUGGAGGGACCCGCUGGAGGUGUUCUCCUGACUCUGGGUCCUCCGUAGGUUCAGAAGCUGGAAGCUCCUCCAGAUGCAUGUCUGGUGAUUUUCCACCUGAUGGGGUUGUAAGUGUCUCUGCCAAGUGGGUUCGAGCAUUUCCCUGGCUGCACUGUCACCCUGCUGUUUGGGGAAGGCUCCUGGAGAUAGGGAACAUGAGUGCCUUUAGGUCAGGUUCCCCACAGCAGGGCUGAGAUGAGGGAGCACUCUCCAGAGGAACCUGGGCAGGGACGAUGCCAAGCCAGCCUCGGCCACCUUCAGGAAGGGGAUUGGCCAGUGCUACCCCAAAUCAAUCAGCCAUUCACUGGCUGGCAGCCGAUGGGUGAGGAAGCAACCUCCCAGGCCCUCUGGACCAAAGGGGUCAAGGACAACUCUCAGGAUAAGGUGCAGCUAUUAGCAGUUGGGGAGCGGAGCAUCAUGGGGUAAAGAAUCUGAGCAAAGUACCAACAGCAACUGCUGCAGGAAGAGGAUGGGGGGGGGAGUCCUACCAUGGCCUCAUUCACUCCCAGUCCACAUGGGCCCAGGGUAGAGCUAACAUACAGGACCAGGACUCUGGGUGUGAAGAUUCUGGGCUACCAAGACAGACCCUCUGAGGUCCAUACUCAGAGUGUGAGUUGCACCCUUUUUUCUCUGUCCCAGCAUCGGCUCCCCAAAGGCAGAGAAAGAGACUCGCUCUCCACCUCAUGCCUCUGCUCCGUGGGGAGCUGGAGCAAGAGGGCCUCUUCUUCCACAGAGGAGGACAGCCGUCCCACACCUUUGGAUGGAGCCCAGGCUUGACCCACCGCCUCCUCACUGGCAGGGCUUUAGGUCUUUGAUUUGCUUUCAGCAAAAGGCCUGGCCAGGGCACGUGGCAUUAUGUCACCAAGCAGUGCCAUUGCAAAUGCCCAUGAGUCUGAGUAUGCACGGAAAACAUACAGGAAGAUCAGUUCUCUUCUUUUGGAGUUUGGAAUAUAGAAUUGGUUGGCGUAGGGGUGGGCGGAGGGUGGGGUCCCCCUGAUUGCUCUAAUUGGUUGCAGCCAGUCCAGCGGCCUCAAAAGAAGGGAUAGGGAUGUGUAUGGAAGGCAAGUACAUGGGGAAGGGGCACUUGAGUUGCCAAGGAACCAUGUUUGGAGUGGUGGGCAGGGGGCACCUCAUCAUGUCACUUCCUUUAAGUUGGCAGUAUAGUCAAGGAAAUAGAGACCCUCAGUCAGUCCACCUGAGGGGACUGCAGAUCCAGGAAAUGGUUAAGAUGAGUUCAAACUCAAAUCGGUUGUCUCUAUAGCUAUGCUGUCUAACCAGUAAGCCAAUAGGACUUGGACACCAAAUUCUGGGAAUGCAGUGGGGAUUGGGAUUGGGUCCAUGUGGAUUUAUUGGCUUGGUGACUUCAGAUUUGUCUGGCUCAUUCCAGUUCCCAGGGACUUGAAGUUUCUCCCUACAUGGACUCCUCUGCCCCAUUCAACCCGCUCUUCUCUCUCAUCUACCUGCACACCCAUUCGGAAUGCCACUCACAAGAAUGUCCCCACCCUCCACCUGUGCUCUGUACUGGCACUGCCAAAACUAAAGUGCAGAUUCAAGAUACAGUGAUGACCACAUGUCCACAGACUUUGGACUUGGCUAAAUCUGAGUUUGAGUUCUAUUUCUGCUGUGUAUUAGUCUGGUGGUCCCCAUAAGUGAAUCUGCCUCUGUGCAUUUCAGUUUUCUCAUCUGUGUAAGGGGAUAAUAAAAUCCAAUCUCGUGGGGAUUGUUCUGAGGAUUAAAAGAGAUGAGUCCAGCUCUGAGUGGCCUCAAAGCUCUGCUCUUUUGUGUCGGUGUGGUUCAAGUUCACGGACAGUGAAUACCAUGUGUUCUGUGGACAUAAAAGCAUUGGAGUGGGGGAGUUCUGGUGGUAACAAUGGUAGUCUAAUCAAAAACCUUUCCAACUCUGGAUUUGACUUAGAUGUGGAGAGAGGGUAAGGACCAGCUUGGAGGACAUUGGUGAUGCACAUGUCCCCAUUCCUCUUCUACCUUCAGGAUCUAAUCACACUUUCGAAGGCUACGCAGCUUUCUUCUCUGGUUGGGUGACACACAAAGCAGGCAGAAGCCACCCUUCCUGCCAGCUGUUCUUUCCAGUGCCUGGCAUGUUCAUGUCCCUGGGCACAGGGAGGGCUUCAGGGUGCACAGGCCACCAUCUGCUGGAGCAGCCACGCCUGGGCUCAGCAACAGCCCCGCCUGCAAGAGCCCAGCCCCAGCUUUCAGCAGCUGUCUGGGUGGGUGACCUAGCAGCUGUGCCAUCAGCCCCUUAGGGGCCUGUGUUUUUGUCUCUCUCAGGCCCUCCUGGCUGCCAGGCAGAGGGCCCACUGUCCUUCACCACCAGCAAGCAUCUCACAUUGCCCAGCCUGUGCCAGUGUUGGCAAAGUCUUCUCAGUUGAGAGGCCUAGUGUCUCUGGCCUCUGUAGCUGCUCACAUGCCCCACUUGGGGACUGGACCCCAAGUGGGGUGAGGUGAACUCUUAGCCUUUACUUCCUGGGGCUUUGCCAGCUUUUCCAUUUCUCUCUGACAGAUCUGGAGACUUUUCAAAAGGUGUCUGUGCUCACACGAGUCAAAGGGAAAAAUUGAAUGGAUGUCUCCGAAAACAGAGGUACUUGUUAAGUUGAACCAGAAGAUUAUUAACGCUAACUGUGGGAGAGAGUUCUAACCUGACUCCAGCUCAUGAUGAUGAAGGUGGUGGUGGUGAUGAUGAUGAUGGUGAUGAUGGUGGUGAUGAUAAAGGUGGUGGUGAUGAUGGUCACAGUGGUGAUGGUGGUGAUGAUGGUGUUGAUGGUGUUGAUGGUUUUGAUGAUGGUGAUGUGAUGAUGAUGAUAAUAUGAUGGUGGUAAGAUGAUGGUAGUGAUGAUGAUGAUGAUGGUGGUGGUGGUGGUGGUGGUGAUGAUAGUGAUGAUGAUGAUGGUGGUGAUAGAGGCAGUCCACUAUUGACUCACACUAUGAACCCAACUCUGUGCUUGGUGUGCUGCUCCUUUUUGUCCCUUUUUAUGCUCGGUAACUCAAGGAAGUAGGUGCUAGAAUCCCCACUUCCAUUUUUCAAAUAACAAAGAUGGGCCCCACAGGAGUUCCUUGACUAGCUUAGACAUAUGGCUGCUGAAUGUCAGUUCUGGAAUUUGACCAAGUCAUACUAGAACAUCCACACUUUUGGCCACUCUCUUGCAUGGAGUCCUCCAACACUGUGGAAUGCUCUGUGAAAUUAGGAAAUGUCAGGGUUGCCGAGGAGUGCCUCCCAUUUUAUAGGUGGAAAAACUGAGGCUGGUGUUCGGAACACCCUCAGUGCUGUGCUCAUGCCAAGGCAGGCACUCUAAGAGGGUCCUUCCCUGCUGGGGUGAGCUGCAGGGUUGAUGGGGCAUGGGGCAUAUAUGUUCCACUUGUGGAUAGAGGAAUUCACUCAUAUGUUUUAGAUACCUCAAGUGUAGCCAGGUAGAGGAGAGACAGAAAACAGCUAAAGUUGGCUCAGGACUGGGCACCACACAGAACACCUAAGUCCCCAAGUCAGCUUCCAGGACCACCACCUUCUGUCCCAUUCCUCCCAAAUCCCCCAACCCAGCACCCACACAGCAGGCAGCUUGCCCAUGUGCAUGUGUGCCCUCGUGCCUGCAGGCCAUAAGUGCCCCCGAGGGGCUCCCCAGUCUCCAGGGCUUCAGGCUAGAUGUGCUGAAACUCCACUUGUUCGAAUGAGGGCAGGCUGGGUCACAACCCAGUGUCCGGACCCCUUUAUGACUCAGCCCAGCUCCCCACUUCUGAAAGAAGCCCUCCAUUACCCCAUCUUGCAUAAGUCCUCUCUCCUACUCUGGUCCACUAAUGUGCUCUGGCCCUUCCACAGUCACACUGCAACACAGUCACACAUAGCUGUGACUGUCUGUCUCCAAGACUGAAAUCUGUUGAGCCAGGCUGUGUUACAAAUAUUCCAAAGAAUGCCCAAAAGAUUGAGUGUACUUGCGUGUAUGUACACACGCGUGUAUGUGUUCCUUGGUGCACACAUGAGUUGCUGUGAAGAGGAGUCCAGUCAGACAGGGAGUAAGGACUGAAGUCCAGUUGUGCCCCGGGGGUGGGGAUGGGCUGGACUACGCUCUCUGUAGGAGCUGUGGGUAGGUGAGAUGAGGGCUGUGGCUCAUCAGCCAACAUUUGAUGGCAUUUAGGAAAAAGCAAUCGGGUACCUCUGUGGCCACUCCAGUAUCAAAUUGGAUUUUCAUUCUGGAAAGGGGGCUACUUGUCUUCCCAGGGCCCAGGAAACAGUGAGACAUAGGUGACUCCCAGACCAAGAAUAAAUAAUCAAGUCAAUCUCAGGUUUAAUUGCCCUUUGACUCAUACCUCCGUCACUGGUCACUGCCACCAGGCAGACCGGUACCAGAGGUCACCUCUGGGUGCCAGUGCCCCAUCCCUGUCCCUCUGCAGGGAGCUAGGAGGCUUUACACAGCUGGAAACAGCUGUGCACGGCAUACACCAGAGCCAGGCACUGACCUGUGCAAACACGAGUAGAAUUAUAGCCACCCAUAAACAAAUUAGCAUCCUUUAAAAGGUGAAAAGCUCCAUAAAAUGUCUGGGUUUUGUUUACAGCUUCGAGGUGGGGUGGCCGCGAGUCGGAUUAAAUCACCGAGAUGCUGGCGCUGGCUCGGUUUCUUCCCCUCGCCUGCCCCCACCACCAUUGUGAGCACACACAGGCCGGCGCACACUCACACACCCGCACAUGCACACGCAACCCGCAUGCAAUGGCCGCUCAGUCCGUCCUGCCGUUGUUCCUGCCAGCCCGGGUCCCAGCAGGUGUUCCCUAAUUAGCAAUCUCUUCAUUUCCAAUCAAAGCACAAAGCGGCCCCAAAAGCCUGUCUUUAUGAGGGAGCGGAGCAGCGGCUAGGGAUGUGCAGGGGGGGAUAAUUGUCUUCGCCAGUGGCGGCGGUAAGCGGGCUGGCUAAUUCAUUAUUGUAAUAACUUUGCUUGUCCUUGGGGAGGUGCGGGUGGGGGAGGGAAGGAGGGGAAGGGGGAAGGGACCGAGUGUGGCUGAGGGUGGGGCCAAGGGUGGGGGACAGGAGAGCAAAUGAAGGAGGCACUGCCCACUCCCCUUCUCUGCUCUGGGCCCACUCCCCACAGCAGGCGGGCAAGUGACAGGGCCUCACUGCAGCCGCCACAGGGGGGCAGGCUGGCCAGACUUUCCCAGUGCCUGAAGGGCCCUGGUUCCAGGUGAGACCCUGGCUCCAGGACCAGGCACAGCUUCCUUCUGAGGCUGCAGGGCUGCCUCCUGGAGUCUGAGGGUCAGGUGUUCGUGGCCGGGUCCUGAAGCCAGGCCUGUGGCUUCCCAAGGGCUGGAGUGUCAUGAACUGUCAGACCUUCUUCAUUCCACUCCCACAGUGACGGUGACAGUAGGAACACCCCAAAGAGUUAUAACUGUUGUCAACAGAACGAUGUGAGUGACAACCCAAGGACCCCUGUGACCCAAAGCAGCAACUCCAAAGUGGCUCUGAGUGUCCUUAAAAAGGGGACAUGGUGGCUCUGGCCUGGACUGCCCCUUGCUGUGUUCUGGUAUAUUUGCCUGGAGUCACUUGUCCCACAAAGAGCAGGACAGAGAGGAACCCUGGCCACUGGAGCACAGGUAGACUGAAGUCCCAGAGGCCAGGUUGUCUGGGGGAUUGCAGUGGCCCUGUGCUCUCAGGGGACUCCAGCCAGCCACAGGGAUAGAGUGUCCCUGGGGGAGAAAGCAUGGCAAAGGCACAGGGCGAGUCCCAGGACAGCCACAGAAGAAGGCCAUGCUCAGGAUCACAGGAGAGCCUGGGAAGGGAGGCCAGGCUGGGCCUCGGGCAGGCUGGAGUCGCAUCUGAGGGCUGUCUUCAUCUGUUGUACCCCCAAAUCGGGAGCAACAGCAGCCCCUGCUAGAGAGCCUGGGACUGACUCACCUUGCCCCGAAGACGGGGCAUGAGGGUGCACCCCGGUUCCUUGCUCACACUGGAACCUCGGGGUUGGGGGCGGCCUGGGCCAGAACGGUGACCAGAGGAAAAUCGAGCCCUCCAGUGCCCCCUCCCCAAAGCUGCCAUCCAAGUCCUCAUCAUGGGGUACUUGCCAGAGGACACUGGAAAUGGAUUCCAGCAGCCCUUGCUAAAGCCUCCCCUGGUUCUGAAUGUUGCCCUGGCCUCCCGGUGUAGUGGUUAAUAUAGGUGACACGCAGAGUACAGCCACCACCGUGUUAGCCUCUGUGCUUCACCGUGCAAGUGGAGGCCAGGUGUGGCAAAGUGCUAGGGCACUCGCCUCACAUGCAGAGGGCCUGGGCUCUAUGCCCAGUACGCGCCCCACCAAAGAUACUGGGGGAGGGGAGCAGGGUGGGUGUCAGAGCUUCCCACUUCCCCUCAUCUGUGGGUGGCAUGGGGAGCUGGCUGGAGGAUGACACUGGGAGAUGGGACUGUGUGCAGCAGGCCCUCCUUCAGUCCAGCACCUCGGGCAUCUCCAAUCACCCCAGCAGCCGUGACCUGGCGGCCGAGGCUCAGCCCUGGUCUACCUCAGCCCUGCCUCUUUCUCUCUGGUUUGGGUGGAGAUGACCUGCAGCUGGGGCCUCGUCCCUGCUCCUGUGCAGGAGAAAAAGGCAUAUCCCUGGCUUUGCUGGCCAGGAGUCCCCUGGCCCUGGGCUUGGUUUGACCUAUAGGACAGUGUGGGAGGCUGGGUGCCACACCCUCUCAAUGGUCAUUUCCUCAGGGCACUGACUUUGCUGUUUGGCUCUCACCCUAGUGUGAGGUCAGGAAAGCCAAAGUCAGCUCCCCUCCAACCCCAGCCACCACUCACAGAUCCCUUUAUAGCUGCUUUUCAGAAAACAUCCAUGAAGCCUAGCGGGGAAUAAAUAGAAUACUACACAAAUAAAUAGCAGUGUGGUAGGGGUGGCUCUGUGGGUUGGGAAAGGCCCCUCUGAGGAGGUAUUAGGGUUAGGUCUGUGGUGUCCUCCCAACCUCACGUGUGGCGGUGAAAGGAUUGGAUUAUGAGAGCCUUAACCUACUCAAUGCAUUGACCCACUGGUACAGAUUAAUUGGGAGGUAACUGUGGGCAGGUAGGGUGUGACUGGAGGAGCUGGUCACUGGGGUGUGCCUUGGGGUGCAUAUUUUGUCCCUGGCUAUGGAGAGCACUCUCUUCUCUUCUCUUCUCUUCUCUCUCUCUCUCUCUCUCUCUCUCCCUGGCUUCCGGUGGCUCUGUCUUGAGCAGCUUUCCUCUGCCACACCCUUCUGCCAUGAUGUUCUGUCCUACCUUGGACCCAGAGGUAUGGGGUGGCUAUCUAUGACUGAGACCUCUGAAAUCAUGAGCCCCCAGAUAAACUUCUCCUCUUCUAAUUGUUCUUCUCAGGUCUUUUGGUCACAGUGACAAAACACCUGACUAAAACAAGCGGUGACAUUUAAGCUGUAGCUGAGGGACAAUGAGAGAAUCAAGUCUGGUUCUGCAUGGGCAAGAUCAGCGCUGACCAGGAAAACAAUAGCCACAUGGGGUUACGUGUCUGCUUCCCAAUUUCCUAUUAGCCACAUUGUUUAAAAAGUCAAAAGAAACAGGUGAAAUUAACCUCAAUAAUAUUUUCUAUUUAGCCCAAUAUAUUAAAAGAUGACUAUUUCACAUCUAGUCAACAUAAAAAAAUUAUUAAAAUACAUUCUACAAGCUUUUCCCUGAACUAAGUCUUUUGGAUCUGGUGUGAAUUUUACACUUAGAUUACUUCUCGAUUACUUCUCAUCCCAAGAGCCUCAUGUAGCUAGCAGCUAAGCACAUUUGAUGCCUAGAGGUGAAAGGAACAAACUCUGGAGCCACUUACUAGCUAUGUGACAUUGGCAAAGUGGCCAUGAACCUCUCUAUGCCUCAGUUUCUCCAUCUGUAAAAUAGGGGCCUAAGAAAAGUUACCCCCUGGAGUUAUUUAAGCUCACAAGGCUCAAGCAGUGUCGGAUUUAAAAGUGCUGUUUAAACGUUAGCUAUUAAUAAGUACAAUUUUUAAAAAAAUGAAAACAAUGUAUCUCCGAAGGAAACACAGUGAAUAGCAAAGGCGGGAGGGGCUGGGGUACAGGUUGAGUGGGGACUGAAGACACCAGGGGGCGUGUCCUGAUCAGGUCCAGCCUUGAACAGCUUGAAUUGCUCUCCAGCUCCUUGGACUGAGCCUGAGAACCAGAGAGAAAAACUUGAGGCUGAGACUUUGCCUGACACCUGUUCCCAUUUCAAAGGAGGGGUGUGAGCUGAGGUGGGGGGCUGUGCACCCCCAGUCUUGCCCAUCCUGCUCUGACUCCAAAACUGUUGCAAGCCUCCUGCUCACAGCUGCCUGGGAAGCGCCGGGCCUCAGCUGGAGGGGGAAUAUUAAUGAUUCAAUUUUCAACCGGGUUCCACUCCAGGGCCUCGCUUGCAACAUGCAUUUUUAAUCAUAACAAAACAGAAUGACAAAGGGAGUCAUUUGCAGCCAGGCAGCCCCUGCUGGCCAGCCCUUCCAAAGGGUUUGGCUGGGGGAGGGGUGGCUGGCCACACAUCACUCCCCCUUUUGGAGCAGAGAGCAUUCCCAACUUCAGGAGCCUGCGGCUGUAGGCCCAGUGGCCUUGUGAGUGCAAACAGUCAUCUUUGGGUCCUUUCUCCUUUCCAAAAGGGGCAGAUUGGGGAGAACCAGAAACCCUUGGGUGCCAUCAUCUAGGACUGGCAGAAGCUGGGGGAGUGGGGAUUUGACCAUCCCUUGGGUUCCAGCUGGUCUGCAGCAGGGGCCCUGCAGAUGGAGGCAGGGAGUUCGCACAGAAAUCUACCAGCCUGUCCUCCAGCCUUGGGGACACACCUCAACAGGGGCCUUCUGGGCUGAUUUGGUCUUGGUGGUGCCUGUGAGAGGUUUACUCCUUGCUCAUGGGGUGGCACCUGGGCUCCCUAUGGGUUCACCUCCCACCUGUGGGUCCUGGCCAUCUUGUUUGGCAACUCGCUCUGCAGUGAGUCAACUGGAAUGUUCUCCUUCACUCUUCCUGAUGCCCUCGAGAGCCCAGCUUGAAUCCCCCCUCACCAGGCUCCCUGUCUCCUUUCUGCCUGUAUUGCCCCUUGUCUGCCCCACUCCCUUAGCACUCUGCUCUUGGGCACACCUCUGCCAUCCCUCAGUCUCUGAGCACCCAGCACUGUGCCUGGUUGGCUUGGUCUAGCGGGGAUGGCAGGCAGCACACCCAGAAACCAGUUCCUGAGCCAUUAUACUUUACAUGCAUCAUAUUCCUUCAACUAACAUUUAUGAAGGACCUACUGUGUGCUGAACGCUGGUUACUGCAGCUACAGUGGCAAAGAAGACAGACAGACAUGGUCUCUACCUUCAUGACAUGUUGAGUUAGGCAGAGAAGAUUAAACAAACUGAUUAAAGUCCCCGCUGCUGUUUGUAUCCUCCUUUAUGUCUUGUACACAUUGGGUGUUUAAUAAAUGCUUGCUGGUGAGUGGGUUCUCAGCUGGCUUAUUCUCUGACCGUGUCACUCUCCUCCUUCUUGUUUUGCAUUUGUGAGGCUGAUUCCAAGGCUGGACCCUUACCUGUUUCCUGUCCUGAUUGGGCUAUCUCUGAUCUCAGGUGUCAUCAAUUAAUAAGAGUAAUAACCAGCAUUUAUUAAGUGCAUGUUAAAUGUCAGGUGCCAAGCACUUGCUGACACAAGUAGUAUAAUCUUAUCUAAUCUUCACAACCACCCCAUGGGAUAGGGAUUAUUAUUUGACCUAUUUUACCAAAGAGGAAAAUGAGGCACAGAGGUGUGAACCGAGAUGCAAACCCAGGCAGUCUGGCCUUGGAGUCCGUGUUGUGACCCCACUGUGUUGUCCUGGCGUGUGGACAGCAGGUCAGAAACACCCUUUCUCACCCGAUUGGUAGAAACUUACUGCCUUUUCAUGGACAGAGAGCUGUUGCUGAGUUGGUCCAGCUUGCAUCCCCGACUCCAGGAAUCGAGCAUGGCAGCACUGGGGUCCUUGAAGUUCCUCGCUGGCUCCCCUCUCAUGUUUCAGCCAGGAAACCAAGGCCCAGGAAUGGGGAGGGACUGGCCUAAAGGUUCAAGGCCAAACCUUGGCCCAGCGUGGCUCUGGGUGCAGGUGCUUCCACCCCAGAGUGGCACCCACUCCACCCCCUCCCUCAGUCCAGCAGGGGUACAGUAGUGAACAAGGCAGGCCAAGGUCCCUGCCCAGAUGUACCUUACAUUCAUGGGGGGGACAUGGGACGGCAGACAGAAAGUGCACAGUAGUCCACGCAUUUGGUGGAUUAAACAGGUUUGUGCUGCGGGAAGUAGGACAGUGGGAACCAGGGGGCCCUCACCUUUCCUCACUGCCCUGAAGGAGGUGAGGGAGAGUCCUGCAAAACUCUGAGCAUUUCCGGCAGAGGGAACACAUAGCAAGUACCAAGGCCAGGCCCGAGGAAGGAAUGGGCCUGGUGUGUUCAGGACAGAGCAAGGAGGCCAGUAGCCAUUGUGGAGUGAAUGAAGUGGAGAGAGGAAGGCAGAGGUGGCUUCUAGCUGGGUGGAGGAGUCUGCCUCCUCCAGCUCCCUGCUUGGCUCAGGGCCCAUGUGAGGUUUUGUGGAAAGUCUGAAGGUAACAAGGGCUCAGAGUGGUAGGUGUUCCUACUCUUUCUGGCCCCUGCCUCCUGACCAAGGGAUUUCCAGAAUAAGACAGCCUACCUGCUCCUGUAACCUCCUCUCACCUGUGGUGCGGUGGCCAGACUCCACAGAACUUUCUAGAGAGAGGUCAAUGAGGGGGUCAGGUACUCGGUGGCCUGGCUGAAGCUCUACCAUGCGGGGUGCUCUAGAGUGGAAAUGAGCUUGCUCUUUGCUCUAGUCAAGGACUUCUCAAAACUCCACAGCUGUCCUAGGCAGAGGCCUCUGUCAGUCACUGACUUUCCUAGGAACUUAUGAGAUCCUGGUCAUCGUUCCGAGGGGGACUGUGAUGAGAGGACACCCUCAGUGAACACUGACUUCUUUGGACCCCCAUCCCUGCUCCUCCUAUUGUGGCCUCAGCAGGAGGUCCUUACAUGAUGUAGGGUCUUGUGGGGACACAAGCCACAAGGCUAAGGCUUUUUUGCCAGGUUGGGGGUGGGGGGCACUCAGCUUCUGCUGUCUGUGCAAGCUGGUGUUGUGUCCUCCCUCUUCCCUGCAGUCGCCUCUCUCUGAUUGAAGGGCUGGUUUUAUUCCCGAGCUGCCUCAGGGCUCCUCUUUCUGAUUGCAUUAAAGUCUCCCUAAUUCUCCCCUCAUUAAUGAUUGGCAUAUUUUUACCUCUCACUGAAGGAGCUUCAAGGCGACUCCCUGGGGGCCCUCCUCUCUCCGAAUGAAACAAUUUCAUCCUGCUCCAGAAACGCAUUAAAAAGGGUUUGUCAGGAUCUUAUCACCAGUUAGAGAAAGCUAAUCAAAUUACUUCUAUUUAUUAGCCGACCAGCAGUGUGGCAUUCCAUCAAGCCCUGGUCUCGGCUGCCGCCUGGGUGGGCAUGCACUGAGCACCCUGGCAUCCUGUCGUGUCUGGAGGUGGGCAAUGUGGAUGGGCUGCCCCUGCCCAGCCAGUCUCUCUGCCCCAAGCUGGCACAGGAGAGCUGGGAGGAGCUACGGGUGCACCCAAGCCAUAGUUAUCUGCUGCUCAUCAAAGAUGGCUCCUUACAGGCACCUGCCUGUUCUGCUCAGCCAGAGGGCGCAGCUCAGCCCCGGGCUGCCUGUCCUUGGCAGAACUGGAUGUGAAACAGCAGUGCAUUUAUAAGGAGACAUAUUCUCCCUCCUUUGGAAGAGAAGGUUAUGACUUAUUUUGUUUUCCUCUAGGGAUUUGUGUUGUUUUUUUUAAAUAGAGUGCACCCCCAAAUUGGUAAUAUGUUGUUAUGUUUCAUGUUUUAAUAACAAAAUUACCAUUUGAUUUUGUUUGUGUGCUCCACUUCUCCGCAUCAUCUUGUGCAUUAUUUUCUCCGCCUCCCUAGUGAGGAGUAUCAUAAAUUUAUCACACAUCCUUCUAGGACCUUAAUGAGUCUUGUAAAUAACUGUGUGUGUCCAAGAAUGGUACAGUCCUGUUCUGUGCUACCGUGGGAAUCAGCAUGGGCUCUGGGCGUGCAGAUCUGAUUGAACUGCCCCAGGCCUCAGUUUCCCCAUCUCCAAAGUGGGGAUAAUAAUAGCACCCACUUUUCAGGAUUUGUAGUGAGGAUGAAAUGAGAUACCUGAAGCACAUAGCAGAGGACCCGGCCUGGUAAGUGCUCAUGAAUGCCAGCCAUGGUCAUUACCACUACCACCUGCACCUCCUGGGGGCCCAUGUGCAUCCCAGCCCCAUUUCACAUGAGGUCAGCUGCAUAAGGAUGUGUGGUGCAUAGGGUCCCUCAGGACGCAGCUGUGUGGACACGUGUGUGCUCUGCCCUGGAAUUCCCUGCUCACAGGAAGUGGGCUGGGUGGGAGAACAGGCCAGACUUGGCCCAGCCUCCCUGAGCAGACCUGGGCUGAGCAGAAGAGCAGCCCCACCCCCGCCAGCCCUCAGCAAGGGCCACCCCAGCUGCGCACCGCCUCCGUGGCCCUGGGAAUGGUUCAAAAGGCUGUGCUGCGUGCCCCAUCACGUCGCACAAAAGGACAUAUUGAUUGGUUUGUAGAAGCAUUUCCUGGGGUCCUUUAUAUCUCUCUCCCUCGUCACCCGUAAUGAAGAGGCCGAGGCACAGAGGAGGGAGAGGCCGGCCCACAUCCAUCCGGGUGGGAUUUCUUCAUCUUAUCAAUCAGGACUUUAAUUAGACACGUCCGAGAGGGCAGUUCCAUCUCGGGGCAGGCGGCAAUCUUUAUCAAGCAUGCCACAUCUCUAAUUACUGUGUACUGACAGAUAACAGUUGGGGGCAGGAUGGGGGGCCCAGGAGGCAGGGAAAGGACAGCAGGGCUGGAGAGUGGCCAUUUGCCCAAGGAGAGCGUCCUUCCAAGACAGCCUGGACAGGAUUGCUCUAACUCUGAUGCCUAGGGGCAGGGGAUGUGGCCUCAGAUAACACCCCUCACAGUGAUUGCAGGUUGAGCCAUGGUGAAUGGCCGGGUCACUAGCUGGACAGAUGUAGGGAUCCCAUGUCCCUGACCACAGCCCAUGCUCCCAACACAUACAUCUUUCUUUUCUUUACAUCUGAACUUAAUCGUUGCUCAGUUUUUGCUGAUUUAGUAGAAAGAGCCAGGAAAACCGAGACUUAAACCUACAGCUUGGCUCCACAUUGGGCAGCUUAUGUGACUUUAGACAAAUGUCCUACCCUCUCUGGGCUCAGCUGCCUUCACUGUCAGAUGGGAUAGUCCCACCCAUGGUAGGACUCCCUCGGAUGUGAGUGGAGAUGACCUAUGCGUAGGAAUGUGUCCUCCCCACCUCCUGCUCCUUGCCCAUCAGGGGACAGUUUGUGCAUUUGUGACAGAGGAACCAUUCAGAUGAUCAAAGCCUAAGGACAAGUCUCCCAUCUUUCCUGGGUGAGUCGUGAGUUUUCUGCUCAGCAGUAUUGACAUGCCAUCAGGGAUGGCGGACCUGGGGGUGACAGCAGGCUCCGUGUCCAGAGAGGUAAGGGAAUUUACACACUUUCUACAGUGAGUCGAGUUGGGCUGCCUGCUCUCUCUGCGAGUCCAGUUGCUGAUUUUCUCUGAGUCUUGGAUCCUGGGGAGCUGAACGGGUGUAGUCUUCCUCCACUUCAUGGAUGGAUAGAGACACAAAACAGGUUGGCCCAGCCCUGCUCUCAGGCGCUGCCCAGAACGUUAAUGGAGACACGCUGCCCUAGCCCCCUAAUCCAAUCCACGUGCUCCAAGCUGUCUGGGAUUCUCCCUUGCUCCUCUCCCCCUCCAGGGACUGGGUCUCUUGCCUCUGGGUUCUCCCCUUGCCAACCUGGAGACCUGGUAUUCCCCAGAAGAGAGACCUGCAAGGUCCUUGAGGAGCACUUACUGCUGGAUCUAGUCACCUAGCUCUCAGCCUGGGUGGCUUGUGUCCUGCUGUCCCCUCCUCGCCCCAGCUACCACAUUCCAGUCACUUUCAGAGAUACCUCAAAAUCCUCUCCCUUUUGGCUUGUCCUCCAACAAAUAGCUCCUGUCAUCUACUCCCUGUGAGUCCCCAUCCCUGAGGCUACUGGUCCUGUUUGGUUCCUUAAUCCCAGGCCUUAGGGGCCAACAUUCUCUUGAGACUUGGCUUGAAGGCCACAAGUGCUCGUGGCCUGCAGGGUCUCAGCCAGGCCCCAGCAGGACAGGCCAAGUGCUCCAGGAACCUGUGGAAGCAGCCUUGCCAGGCACGGGCCUCACCUCCUUUCAGAGAGGUUACUAUCCCACACUUGUCUCAAGAGCCAGACUCUGGUCCUAAUUCAGGUGGUCACAUGGGUAUUCUUUAAACUGGAUGGCACAGGCUUGGGAGUGACCCAGAAUGUCCCUGACAGGACUUCCCACGAGGAGCUUGGACACACUCAGACUCAUCUUUCUCCAAGUGGAUGUGGAACUCCCAUGCUGGAGAGAGGCCAGGGCUGGAGGCCAGGCUCUGGGAGGUCAGAGUUCACGGGUCCUGGAGGCUGCACGGUGAGGAUGCUAGCCUGCGGUACACUGGACUUGGGCUGAUGGGGACCUCUGAGUGGAGCUUCAGAACACCAGGCCACUGGGACACAGUAGCGGCCGUGGUGAUGGGGGUGUGCCGAGAAGGAAAGGAGCCGUCCCUCCUUAAGAGAGAGCAGGGUGUGGGCAGAUGGAGCCACACACGGGCCCCACUGGAGUAGAGAGGGGCUCUGGGGAUGGCAUAAUGGGCUUUCACAGGAAGGGGCAGCGCCCGGGCCACAGUGUCAGUUGGUCUUUCUGGUNCGAGGCACAGAGGAGGGAGAGGCCGGCCCACAUCCAUCCGGGUGGGAUUUCUUCAUCUUAUCAAUCAGGACUUUAAUUAGACACGUCCGAGAGGGCAGUUCCAUCUCGGGGCAGGCGGCAAUCUUUAUCAAGCAUGCCACAUCUCUAAUUACUGUGUACUGACAGAUAACAGUUGGGGGCAGGAUGGGGGGCCCAGGAGGCAGGGAAAGGACAGCAGGGCUGGAGAGUGGCCAUUUGCCCAAGGAGAGCGUCCUUCCAAGACAGCCUGGACAGGAUUGCUCUAACUCUGAUGCCUAGGGGCAGGGGAUGUGGCCUCAGAUAACACCCCUCACAGUGAUUGCAGGUUGAGCCAUGGUGAAUGGCCGGGUCACUAGCUGGACAGAUGUAGGGAUCCCAUGUCCCUGACCACAGCCCAUGCUCCCAACACAUACAUCUUUCUUUUCUUUACAUCUGAACUUAAUCGUUGCUCAGUUUUUGCUGAUUUAGUAGAAAGAGCCAGGAAAACCGAGACUUAAACCUACAGCUUGGCUCCACAUUGGGCAGCUUAUGUGACUUUAGACAAAUGUCCUACCCUCUCUGGGCUCAGCUGCCUUCACUGUCAGAUGGGAUAGUCCCACCCAUGGUAGGACUCCCUCGGAUGUGAGUGGAGAUGACCUAUGCGUAGGAAUGUGUCCUCCCCACCUCCUGCUCCUUGCCCAUCAGGGGACAGUUUGUGCAUUUGUGACAGAGGAACCAUUCAGAUGAUCAAAGCCUAAGGACAAGUCUCCCAUCUUUCCUGGGUGAGUCGUGAGUUUUCUGCUUAGCAGUAUUGACAUGCCAUCAGGGAUGGCGGACCUGGGGGUGACAGCAGGCUCCGUGUCCAGAGAGGUAAGGGAAUUUACACACUUUCUACAGUGAGUCGAGUUGGGCUGCCUGCUCUCUCUGCGAGUCCAGUUGCUGAUUUUCUCUGAGUCUUGGAUCCUGGGGAGCUGAACGGGUGUAGUCUUCCUCCACUUCAUGGAUGGAUAGAGACACAAAACAGGUUGGCCCAGCCCUGCUCUCAGGCGCUGCCCAGAACGUUAAUGGAGACACGCUGCCCUAGCCCCCUAAUCCAAUCCACGUGCUCCAAGCUGUCUGGGAUUCUCCCUUGCUCCUCUCCCCCUCCAGGGACUGGGUCUCUUGCCUCUGGGUUCUCCCCUUGCCAACCUGGAGACCUGGUAUUCCCCAGAAGAGAGACCUGCAAGGUCCUUGAGGAGCACUUACUGCUGGAUCUAGUCACCUAGCUCUCAGCCUGGGUGGCUUGUGUCCUGCUGUCCCCUCCUCGCCCCAGCUACCACAUUCCAGUCACUUUCAGAGAUACCUCAAAAUCCUCUCCCUUUUGGCUUGUCCUCCAACAAAUAGCUCCUGUCAUCUACUCCCUGUGAGUCCCCAUCCCUGAGGCUACUGGUCCUGUUUGGUUCCUUAAUCCCAGGCCUUAGGGGCCAACAUUCUCUUGAGACUUGGCUUGAAGGCCACAAGUGCUCGUGGCCUGCAGGGUCUCAGCCAGGCCCCAGCAGGACAGGCCAAGUGCUCCAGGAACCUGUGGAAGCAGCCUUGCCAGGCACGGGCCUCACCUCCUUUCAGAGAGGUUACUAUCCCACACUUGUCUCAAGAGCCAGACUCUGGUCCUAAUUCAGGUGGUCACAUGGGUAUUCUUUAAACUGGAUGGCACAGGCUUGGGAGUGACCCAGAAUGUCCCUGACAGGACUUCCCACGAGGAGCUUGGACACACUCAGACUCAUCUUUCUCCAAGUGGAUGUGGAACUCCCAUGCUGGAGAGAGGCCAGGGCUGGAGGCCAGGCUCUGGGAGGUCAGAGUUCACGGGUCCUGGAGGCUGCCCGGUGAGGAUGCUAGCCUGCGGUACACUGGACUUGGGCUGAUGGGGACCUCUGAGUGGAGCUUCAGAACACCAGGCCACUGGGACACAGUAGUGGCCGUGGUGAUGGGGGUGUGCCGAGAAGGAAAGGAGCCGUCCCUCCUUAAGAGAGAGCAGGGUGUGGGCAGAUGGAGCCACACACGGGCCCCACUGGAGUAGAGAGGGGCUCUGGGGAUGGCAUAAUGGGCUUUCACAGGAAGGGGCAGCGCCCGGGCCACAGUGUCAGUUGGUCUUUCUGGUGUGAGCCACUUUGACCCUCUGUUUAAUCUGGACACAAAUUCUAGAGGAGGAGACAUUCUAUAGGGAAGAAGGAAUGGCAGGGGCUAAGACCAGUGGUCAGUGGGGAGCUUGGUGAGAGCCCCGAGCAAGCCCGCAAGAAGCGCCUGCAGAUCCCCCGGCCAGGGAGAUGCCGCUGACCACAGGGGAGGGGACCUCUCCUGACACUUAGCACAUACAGACGUCUGCAGUCACGUGAAUGAGGGAUCAUCCCCACCAGCCCAGAUGAGGGGCCUGGCAAGUGAGAGAGGCACAGGGAAGGCCGAGGGGUUAAGACCUGGGCUAUGGAGCCAAAGAGCUGGGACUUGGACUUUGUCCACUUGAGCCUUGAUUUUCCUUAUCUAUAUAAUGGGAAUGGUGCUGUUCGUGAGGCAGAGUUGCUGGGUGUCCAUGGGCAUGUUUCCUGGUACAGUUCCUAGUAGAAACUCGACAAAUAAUAACCAGCUGAUCAUUCAUUGAGAAAAUACUUGUUGGGUGCCUACUGUAUAUCAGGCAUUGUGCCAGAUCCUGGGUCACAGCAGUCAACUUGACAGCCAAGCUCCUACUCUCAGGCACUUCUGUUCUGGUGGGCAGUGACCAAGAAAGCCCAAAAUGUGACCAUAUAAAGCCCACUAAGCUGCAGUGCAGGAAAUAAACAGGGAGAGUGAGAGAGGGUUCUGCAGAAGAUGGGAAUCUUUGAGACAGGGUGUUCAGGGGAGGCUUCUCAAUUUUGGAAGGGGAGGGGUCUCACCCAUGCCAAUGGCAGUCCAGAUAGAAGGGUCAGGGAGUGGAGUCUUUGCAGCGUUGGAGGAACAGAAAUGAGCUGAGCCACAUGAGAGAAGGGCUGUCCCAGAAGGAGCAAGAGCCAGGGAGCAGGCAGGGCCCACAGGGCAUGGUAGGUAGGGCUUGGUAGGUUAUGCUAAGCACAGUGUGAAGUCAUGGGGUGAUCUGAAGGAGGGGGCAAGGGCUUGGUGCAUGGCUGAAAGCAUGGUCUCUGGAGUCACACCUCCUGGGUUUGAAUCCGGCAAGUGUAAUCAACACCCCAAAAUGUAGUGUCUUAAAAUAAUAGCAAUUAUUUCUUUUGCUUACAAACCUGAAAUGUGGGCCAGGUUUGAGGAGGGAGUGGCUGCUGCUUCUUGUGGAAGCUGAGGUGAGUCACCUAGAGCUGGGGUGAUGCUCUAAGUGGUUCUGGCUGCUGGCCGGCACUCAGUUCCUCUCCACAUGGGCCUCUCCACGUGCCUGCUUGAGCUUCCUCACAGCAUGGUAGUUGGGUUCCAAGAGCAAGUGUCCCAGGCUGCACAGCUUCUUUUCACCUGGCCUUGGAGAUCAUCACCUCCACCUGAUUCAAUUGAUUGAGUGAUGACAGCCAGCCCCAAUUCAAGGGAACAGGAAUUAGACCCUAUUUCUUACUGAGAGUCCUAAAGGAUUUACAGCCAAAGAGUUUGAAGAGAUAGGUUGGGUGAGGGGCAGAUCAGGCAAAACUUCGUAGGUCACAGUAAAGAGCUUUCAUUUUCCUUUAAGUGCAAUGUGAAAUCAUUAAUGGUUUUAAAUAGGGGGGUGACGGCCAAUGCAGUGACAGAGAGCGUGAAUUCUGAAAUUGGACUGCCUGGAUUCAAAUGAGGCCUGCAUGAAUUAGCUGUGUGUCUUUGGACUUGUUUCAUGACUUCUCUGGGCUCAGUUUCCUUAUCUCCAAAAUGAGAUUAGUAAUAGCACCUGCCUCAGAGUUCUAUGCUAAGGAUGAAAUUAAUUCAAUUCUCAUGAAGGACACAAUAGUUUCUAGCACAUAUUAUGUGCUCAGAAUGUUCACCAUUGUUACUCAAAUUAUGCUUUCCUUCACUUGUUUGGCUGCAGGGCAGAGGAAGCAUUGCAGAAUGGCUCGAAUAGAAUCAAGGAAAACCAAUUAACAGAGCCAAGACUUGAAUUCAGACCCACCAGGCUCUCUGCUCACAAUUGUUUUAUUAGGUAUCUGCAGUGUGCUGGGUGCUGUAACAAAUUACCACCAACCAAGUGGCUUGAAACUCAGGGAACUUAUUCUCUUGCAAUUCUGGAGGCUAGAAGUCCAAAAUCAGGGUGGAUCUCUAGGAAGCGUCUCUUCCCUGUCUCUCUCCUGGCUUCUGGGGGUUGGGGAGCGCCUCGUGUUCCGUGGCUCGAGUCUGCAUGGCUCCCAUCUCUGCCUCUGCCUUCACAGGGCUUCUCCCCUGUGUCUGUGUCUCUUGGCCCCAAAUUCCCUCAUCUUAGAAGGACAUCAGGGCCUUCUGGAAUCCAGCAUGGCCUCACCUUAGCUUGCACAUCUGCAAAGAUCUGUUUCUAAAUAAGGUCACGUUCACAGGGCGGACGUGAGUUUGGGGAAUACACUAUUCAACCCCAUCCUGGUCAUGGCUGUUGUCAGGACUGAAAGAGAUGAACUAGCUCAAGGUGGGGGUAAUCUGCUGCCCCAAUUCCUGUACCACCCUGUGUCCUAAGCAGGGGAUAGUGACAGCGCUAACCAGCCAAGUCACCCAGAACUCAGCCUCCUCUAAACACCUAAAGGACAGACCCAGAAGUGACCGCUGCUCAGGGGUGCCCUUCCCUGGCUCUCCCCAGGCAAGACCCUUGGCUUCCUGGGUUGAAAGCAGGAGGCAGAGAGGACCAGGGUCAGCACGGAGCUACUGUCUGCAGGAAGCAUGGAGCUCUGCCUGGUGGAGCCAACAGGGGAUGCCCGCCGCCAUGCCCCUCUUCCCAGUUCCCCAGCAGCCAGCUCCUCUUAAGUACCUGGGCUCUGCACAGCACCCCCAACUGGCCCCUGCCUUGGGUCUGUUCUCCUGGAGGCCAGGCCACAGACACCUGCCCUGGCGACUCCCUAGAUGGCCCCCAGCCAGGCUGCACGGAAGCCCUUCAAGGUCUAAGGAGUAUGCCCAGGAUCAACCAGGAUCCCAUAAUUGGACUGUUGUUCUUUCAUUUUGCCACGUUGCAGCGUGCGGAUUAUAGACACCACAUGGUAUAGAUUUCCUGUCAGAGCUCAUGAAUCAAGCCCCACUGUCUUAUUUACUGUGGGCCAGCGGCUGUGAAUAGCAUCACCCAACAUGCGCUCACGUGCGCAUGUGAACACUGCCCGCACAGCGGGGCCAAGCCUGGCUCCCAGACGCCUCUGCCGGGUGCAGCAGGCAGAGGGGCUCCCGGGUGCUGUCCCUCCUGCCCUGGCUUCUGGGGAACAAGCAAGGGGGCUGGGCACCUAGGCAGCUGCUUAACCCUGGGGGAGAUUACUCCAGUCAGACUUUAUCUUUCCUCAUCUAGCUUAGGGCUACCUUCUGGGGGCCUCCGGAAGUGUCCUGGCCUCAGACCAAACUCUGGUGGUGGAUGCUCUGCCUUGGGUAGUGGGAAUAGAUUAAUAGUGUGCAUGGGCUUUGGAGGCAGAGAUGCCGUUCAAUCUUAGCUAGGCCUCUUACUGUCAUGCCACCUGGGCUAGCUACACACUCCCUGGGUCUUGUUUUUCGUAUCUGUGUAAUGGGUUCAUAGUAAUUGUUCGUGAAUGUGUAAGAGACAGAGAUGCACAGAGAGAAAAGUACAUGAAAAUUCAUGUGAGGCAUUUAGCAUAGUCAGCAGGGCCUGAUCACUAGCAGUCAUGGUAAUGGGUGCUAAAGCCACUGCCCAUGUGUUAAAGGGGUGGUCCUCAUCUUGGAGCUAUUGGGAAGUGCUGCAACCAGAAGAGGUGUGGCAGAGUGGAAGGUCUUCAGGUCACUGGGGAUGACAUGGAGGGGACUGUGGGACCUGAGUCACUCUUGAAAUGAGCAGUUUUGCUCUGCUUCAUGCCUCUGCCAUGACACACUGCCUCAGUGCAUGUCCAAAGCGAAGAGUCUAGUUGAUCAUGGACUGAAAACUCCAAAACUGAGUCAAAAUAAACCCUUUCAUCUUAGAAGGGGAUUUCUCUCUGGUACUUGCUAUAGUGCCAGAAGCUGAUUGUCACGCUCAGCUGGCUCACUUCAUCUGCCCAACAACUCUUCCAAGUGGGUGUCACUCCAUUCUGCAUAAAAAGGACCUGGAUUUCUGAGGGGUUGAGUAAUUUGUCCAAAGUUGCACAGCGAGUAAGUGAUGGAGCCAGAACUCAAACCCAGCCCUGCCUGACCCUAAAGGUCCAAGACAUUUCCAUUCAGCUCACCUUGAGGUCAAGGAUUAUGCGCAAAGAGUUCAGGAGCCUCCUCAUCACACUGAUCCAGCCACUGCCAUCUUUCUGGCCCUCUCUUGCCCUUGGAGGGGCUGCAGAAAUGGCUUUUUAUCCUCCUCAUAGUUCAGGACUUGUUAGACUUGAGGGGUUUGGGGAAUAGAGUAUGCUCAUCAUUAUUGGAUGCCACUAGACUGUGGGCUUCCUGCAGGUAUGGUCCAUGGCUCUCCGAUCCACUCCUCUCCCUACCCCUGAACUGGCCAGGAACUAUUUGGAUGGAUGGAUGGAUGCGUGGCUGGGUGGCCGGUGGAUGGCUGGCUGGAAUCUUUUCAGAAUGUGUGGGAGGUUUUUAUCUAAAUACCUGCCACAUUUUCCAUUGAAUCUGUCGCUGAGUGCCCAGUAAUAACAGCCACUUCAAGGAGGCACAAACCAGGGAAAAUCAUCAUGAAGAUGCAAAUCCCGCUGCUGUGAUUCAAGGGUGAUGCUGGAACCUAGAACCUUUGCUAGAACCCAAGGAAACAUGGACAACUUUCCUCUAGGCUCAGGGCUGGACUCUGUCCUUCUCAAGGUCUGUGUCCUUCACAGCCAUAAGACUUAGAUUCCUUUAAAUUCCUUUCUUAUGUCUUGAAAUUGUUAAGUCAGGAAAAAGGACCAGACUUCAGAUUUUCUGGUCUGUUCUCCCUCCUGGUCAGCUACACUAGGCUCAGCCUCCGCUAACUUAAAACCCCUGUAGUUUUGAGAAAGUGGGACCUUUCACCUCCUCAGUCUCAGCUUCCUGAUCCAUAAAACAGAAAUGAGGACCUCAAGGGUGUCAUGGAGCUUGGAAUCUUUGAUUCCUCUCCCCAAACCCAGAAUGGAAGAUCAUAUUUCAUUUUUUUUUCUGUGUCUUAGCAGACACAGAGACUGUGUUAAAUAAAUAUAGUGGAGGGUUGUGGCGCUUUGGGGUGCUACCCAGGGCUGUAGAGGUCUGAGCAUGGAGCGAUGACAGGCCGGUAGGCUCCUUGCGCCCAGGAUGCUGGACCUGGUUUCUCCCUGCUCGAGGGCACACAGGGCGGGAGUAAGAUCCUCGGCUGAGUUGGAAGCCACUAACCCCCAGGCCUGUCCCAUGAGUCAUCCCCCACUUCACACCUCCCCUGAAAGGCUUUCACGGGCUUGUUCUGUACCCAGAGGAAAUGCUUCAUCCUCAAAUGUAAUUGUGUCUGAGGAGGUGUCCUCUGUGACCAGGCGGGUCACGGAGCCAACGAGUGAGUCAGCGCAUCCGGCAGAGUUAAUUAAAGCAGAGGGCUGCGGAGUCCAGAGCGCAGGGCUGCGAAGGUGGGCGGCGACGCCCAUGAUGAACGGGCUCCCUCGGUGGCCAGCAGGGGACACAAAGGGGUGCUGCGAAUCUUUGGGUGCAAGAACCAGGGGAGCCAAGGCCGCAGUGGCUCUCCCAAUGAGCUCAGUACGGGGACAUAACAUUGGCUCUUUCUGCUUCCUUUGAAUUCUACACAUGAUAUUCAUGAAUAAUCAGAGUUUCCUGGGACUCUUCUGUGCCCAGAGGGCUGGACUACUCUGGGAGGGGGAGGGGUAAUUUCCUUAGAAUGCACUGACCUUUCCGGAAAGGGGUGCCCUCAUGGUAGGUACCCAAGAUGUCCUAGAAUGGUGCUUGACACAUAGUAGGCACUUAAUCGAAAGCCCUAGAAUGAAUGAAUAGGUUUAGAUUCUCUGAUUAAAGUUUAGCUGAGCUACUGGUAGCCUGAUGGGUGGUGAGGAAAGAAUGAAAAAAAGAGGAGCUGUUAAGUAAAAGAGAGAUGCAGCCACCAGGAUGGAAACUCCGCGGAGGCAGGAUGCUUUGUCUGUUCUCACUGCUGGCUCCAAGUAGGUGCUCAUUAAAAUGUUUAAUAAUGAAUCAACAGCCAGGUGUAGUGUGCUGAGGUUGUUACACCUGCCAGGCUGAGGCAGGAGGACUAUAAGUUCAAGGCCAGAUUGGGCAGCUUGGUGAGACCCUAUCUCAAAAUAAAACAUUUUAAAAGUAGUGUGGGGGAGGGGGGGCUCAGUGAUAGAGUGCUUGCCUAGAAGCAUGUCCCUGGGUCCAAUUCCUAUACAGAAUUAGGAAAAAAAAAAAAAAAAAGAAUGAAUCAAGGAGAAAAAGAAGGAAGGAAGAAAGGAGAGAAGUGGACAGACUCAGGAAAAGGUAGGAGGCUUCCCAGCUAGGGAAGUCCUGCACACAGCUGGGUAGUAAGUUCCAUGCAACCAGGAAGUGUCUAAUGAAAGACGGUGUGUCUGAUGCGAUUCGAACAGUAUGAUUCUCUAUCUCACUUCUUGUGCCAUUUUCAGGCUUCUGUUCCUGUGGGAGACAGGUGUUCUCUUAGAGAAUGAUGUUGGAGAUUUCUUUUCUCCCUCCUCACCCUCAAUACACCCACCGAUCUGCUCCAACUUCUAACUUCCACCCCAGAGGAAAUCCCAACGGAGAGCUGUCUCCUGUCCUAGAUGGGCAUCUGCCCCAAGUCUCUGCUCCUUUCCCUCCCUCUACAUGAUCCAGAAGGAACCUGUGCCUUCCCCGACACCAUGUCCUUCCUCCAGGCAGCAGGUACUGUGGGCAGGACGGGCUUCGUGCCUAGCUCCCUUGGACAGUGGAAGGCACUGUGCUUGACACAGGCGAAUUAGAGCAUCCCUGCCCUGGCAAAGUCUGCUGACUUCCUAGAGAAACAGGCCAUGAGCAUAUGAGUCCGCACACCCAGGGGGAUUUUGAUGGGCUGAGGGGUUAGAGAAAUGACCUCCUGGGAGAUUGUCCAGGAGAUUCAGAGUGACUGUCACAGAAGCCCCAACCUCCCAGGAUGGUAGAAGCCACUAAGUCCCAUGUAUCUAUGUCAAUGAGGCAUUGGGUUGCUCUCCAGUUUUCCAAUGUGGCACUUCGUUCCUUUCCAACUAGAGUAUCCUAAGCCAAAUGGGUUGAUAGUCUGUCUCCCUGAACCUGCAGCCCUCAGGUGAGCCAGGUACAAUGACAGUCAUAUUGAGGCUUUGUGGGGUGACUGUUGAAUGAGAGACCAGUCUAGGCAUGACUCCUCACAGGGCUGAUGGCCCACCUGGACACAGCUGGAUGGACUAGUGUGACGCUCCCUCUCCCUUUGCCCUGUCCCUCUCCAGGAAUCAAUGGGCAGUACAUCAGUGACAUGCAGCUUUGGCAGUGCUGAGUGAGGCUGGCAGAGUGGGGCUGGCAGGUGAGGUGCAGGGGCCCUGGGCACACCUGCCUGCUGUCUGCCUGGCCUCUGCCAACUGCAUACACCUUUGUCAUCCUGACUGGGGACCAUGAGUGAGUUCAUAUAGAGGACAGUGAUGCUGAGGCCCCUGGCUUGGGUUUGGUGCCUUUGUGACCAGUGAACUGGGCACCUGUGCAUGGCUACCUUUUUGACCCUGAUUUUGACCACUGUGUGAACCUGAUCCUUGAUCCUCAUGAACAGGAGCAUGUUAACCUGUUAAAGUCAGUUCCCAGGGCAGCUGAAACAGAGUCCCUACCACACAUUUGAUGGCUUAGAGCAACAGAAACUGACUCCUUCACAAUUCUAGAGGCUAGCCAUCCAAGGUCAAGGUGUGGCAGGACCAUGCUCCCUCUGAAACCUGGAGAGGGGAUACUUCUAUCUCUUUUUCUCACAUCUGGUGCUCAGUGGCCAUCGUUGGAGCCCUGGAAGUUAGGGCUUGCACAUAUCUUUUUGGGGAACACAAUUAAACCUAUAACAAUCAUUGAUCCUCUACCUGCUGGGGGAAGGUCAGAAAUACUGUCAUAGACAUUACCAUAAGCACACAUGGCGUCUUCCCAUUAACUCCCAAGGAGCAAGGUUAAGGGCGAGGGGAUAGCUGAUGGAAGAACAUCAACUCCAAGAAAGCAAGGAUUUUCAUCUCUUCUGUUUAUUAUUGAGUCCCCAGCACCUAAACAGGGCCUGGCACAGAGUAAGUGCUCAGUAAGUAUUUGUUGAAUCAAUGAGUAAAUUAACAUGGGGGUGGAACUUCCAGAAACCAAGUGAGAGCUUAACUGUGUAACCAGGGAAUAUUCCUCAUUUCCCUGGCUCUUUCCUCCUCUGUAAAGUGGGGCUAUAAAUACAAUGUCCUCUUCACUGGGAACCUAUGGAAACCCAGAAACUCAGUAGCUGGCACACUGUAAGUGCUCAAUAAAUGUUCAUUAAAUCAGAAUAUGCCCAGAGGCCUUUGUGUAGUCUGAGUUUUUAGGCAGCUGGCGUGAUGUCAGCACCCCAAGUGGGCGCUUAACUUUUCGGCCCUAACCAGUGGUCUGCUAGGGAGAAAGUGACAGGCCAUCCCUGGGAAGUAGGAGGAGCAGGGUAACUAGGGAUUAUUACAGGGCACCAGUUAAGGGCACAGACCCUGCCACACAGAGUGGGAAGGCGGGUUCAAAUCCCAGCUCGGGCCCUGGCUAGUGUUGGGGCUUCUGGCACUCGGAGGCCAGUUUCUCUGACCCUAUAAUGAGCACAGCGGUAGCAUCUGCUUUAUGGGUAUUGGCGAGGGUAGAAUGACUGGCACAUGAGUGACUUGGUGGUACUAGUGUCACUCUUCUAAACCCUCCGCCCGAUCGCUCCGUGAUAGAUCACUGGAAAGCCCUGACCUCGAACUCUACCGCACCUCGCGGGGUUUCCUUUCCGCAGCGCGCACACCGCCCACGGCUCGUGCCCACCCGCUGUCCCGCGGCGGAGCGCUCCGCAAACUCCGAGACCCAGCGCGCCCUCUGGUGGCGCACGGCCCGCCAUCGGUCGCGCGAGGGUCACCCAGUGGGCGCCUUCCGCAGCUCCUUCGCUUGGCGGGCAUUCCGAGGCGCCCUGGGUCUGGUCCUUCCUCCUCGGUGGCGUCGGUGAGCAGAACUGCCUCGCUCUGUGCCUCCCUCGCGCACGCGCGCGCCUGUCCGGGAGGGCGCCGAGUGCAGCCGGGCGCUGGGCAGAGACAGUGGGCGGAAUCCCAGGCGGUUGCCGGGCUUGUCCUCCGGUUUCCAGCCUCAACGUAGGGAGCACUGCUGAUGGGCGUCCCUUUUGCAAUCCCUGAUCUACCACUUCUUCUCUGGUGUGAGGAAGCAAACAGCAAGGCAGCUAGAAGAAUAUGACAUCUGCCAAUUUGCCUGUAUUUAGGGUCACCCGUGUGUGACCAUUUCCAUCUCUAGGUCUGGGGGACUCCCCCUCCCCCGUGCGGUUGUGUGGGCCUGUUUAGCCAUCCAGCCCCAUCAUUUGUCAGCGCCAGCAUUUAUUGAACUUAGUCUGUGCUGGGUGCUGUUUUAAGUGCUCUGGGUGUACAGUUCACCUUAUCCAAACAACAGAAGGACCUACAGCUGCAUUCGCACUUAGGACGACACUGAGGCACAGAGAGGGUAAGAACUUGUCCAAGAUCACAGAGCAGAGAUUUGAAUCCUGAGAGUAUAGCCUCAAGCUGAUGUCACCGCCUCCCCUCUCACGGCCUCCCCCACUGAAUUCUGGGUAGUCACCCCUACUUGCCUGCCCUUGCCGAUACAUUCCCUGACCUCUCCAUCUGCACUGCUUGCUUGGCAAGCUCCACUGGGAGCUCCUCCCUGCCCCUCUGUACCCCCAGGUCCCCACCCCAUGUGCUUGUCAUCUGUGUCACUAUGCCUCUGUUACUAGGCUGUGGCUAUUUGCAUUUGUGCUCCCCACCGCCCAGCACUGUGCUAGGCACACAGCAGGUGCUCCUGGGAUGGAGCCAGCCUCAGAGAGCAGCAGCCUUUCCCCUGGGAUCCAGCUGAGCUCACGGUUGUGUUUGAAAGGAGCAUUUUAGAGAUGGAAAUGCUGAGGUCACAGGGCUGCGGGAUCCAGGUGCACAGAGCAAACCAAACAGACUGUGAGAGGCAAGUGUGACCCACAGAACCUGCAGGCGGCCCCAGGGACGAAGAGCAGCCCUGUUUGUCCAGGGAGUCCUGGGCUUGGGCUGCACAGACCAAGGAGGAGAGGAUUUGAAACCAACAUUUCGUGUAUUCUCUAGGGUCUUGCCUUGAAAGAUGUCAUCCUUGGGGUACCGCUUCCUUCCUGGGUCUCCUUUCCAGUAGCCUUUGCCGUUUGAAGCAGGGACCAGGCAGCCAGAGACAGUGGGCACCCCAGGAGGAGUCAGAGGAGUUGAGGACAAAGAUGGAUACAGCUGUCGGAGUAGGGGAGCCGCUCUUAGGGCAGCUGGGGUCCAGAGCAAUGUCUGUGUCUCCUAGAGGCCCUGGUGCACGUUGACGCUCCUUUGUCCCUUUAAUGACUACAGCAUUGGCUCCACUCUCCACUCCCCUGCCCCUAUGUUGUUCCCAAGCCAUGUUCAAGGCUCAGUGCAGCUCACUUGCUCCCUGAGCCCUCAGGACAUGCUUCCCUCCCCCUUCCCCCGUACUCUGCAGAGGCUCUGCCACUGAGUACUGGAGCUCGAGUCAACGUGUGUCACUUCCAGGCCAGCCUGGUUUUCCCUGCCGUAGUAGGUGCUUCUCCAGGAGAAGGACCAGGGCUUCUGGGCUCCCUUUGCCCCCCCCCAGUGGCCAGCAUAAUGCUGGGUAUUAUUAAAUGCUCAAGAUGGGCAGGUGGUUCCUCCUCAGUUUCCUCCUCUGUGAAAUGGGAAUAAUGGAUUCCUUCGAGGCUGCGUCAGAACACCCAGCACCCAGCACGAGGUCAUUCCAGGUGAGUGCCCCAUCUUUCCUGCGGGCCCGUUCCUGCUGAGCCUCUGACUUCCUGUUCCCACCAGAGAAUGAUCUGUGGUGAAGAGCAAUCUCCUGUCCCCCACUCUGGGUUCAGGUGACUGGGGUUCAGAGGUUCAGAUGCCCGCUCCUCUGCCGUCUGGUCCCCCCACCUCAGGGAGCAGCUAGAGGGAAGCGCAGGGGCUCACUGGGCACCAGCUGCACAGAGGUGGGUCUCUCUUAUUCCUGCAAUGCCCAGCUGGAGCCCUGAGGGGCUCAGGGUAGAAGUUCAAGACCAGCCGUCACCCACUUGACCUGCUGGGGCCUCUUACCACCUUCCCCGUUAACAGAUGGGGGAAUCAUGGGUGGAGGGGUCAGAAAGGGCUUGGGUCAAUGUGGCAUGGGCAUGAGUAGAGCCUUCUUACCUUUUCUGUGUCUUCUGUGGCUUCAAGUAAAGCCUUGGGCCCUCAGUGUGUCCGGGGCUUAGUGAGUGGAUAUUAACACUCACAUCAUCCUUGGAGGCAGAACCACGCCUCCCACAACUGACAAAGAAAGAGCUGCAGAAAGGAUAAAUUAUAAAUAUGCUUAAAUUAUACAACUAUCCUCGGAAUCCAGCUUUGGAAACCUGUGUGUGUUUUUUUGUUUUGUUUUGUUUUGUUUUGUUUGUACUGGGGAUUGAACCCAGGGGUACUUAACCACUGAGCCACAUCCCCAGCCUUUUAAAAAUAAUUUUACUUAGAGACAGGGUCUCUCUGAGUUGCUUAUGACCUCACUAAGUUGCUGAGGCUGGCUUUGAACUUGCAAUCCUCCUGCCUCAGCCUCCUGAGCUGCUGGGAUUACGGGCGUGCGCCACCACACCUGGAUGAAACCUGUGUUCUUGAGCAGUAUGUUGUGCAGUCGCCAGGGUGACAGGUAAAAACCUAACCCCGCAGCCUGAUUUCUUCUAGUUGCAGCUGGCCUGUUUGGCCCCGGGCUCACGUCGCCCAUGUGAUUGGUUCUCACCCCUUAGACCUCCUGCUCUCUUCUCUGGGCUCACUCUAGCCUCGUCUUACCCUCUGGGCACCACCCACAUUUCAAAGUCCCUUGGGGACUGGGGGACAAGAAGCACAUGAAUCAGUAAUCACACCCAUCCGGCCCCAUCGGCUGGGCCACUGGGAUGGCUCUGGGCAGCUGCACCUCUGUGGGUUUGGACCUGGGCUUCCUCUCUGUGCAGCUUCAUGGCCCCUUGCUGCUCCUGCUCCUAUCACGAUUUCCAUCUGGCUUAGGGAAAGGAUUUUGCGAGACUGUUGAUGGCCACUGUUUCCUGGGGGGAUGCCCAGGGAAGCUCUCCGUGGACCCCACCUGCCCUACAAUGCAACCCCUGGAGAAGGCUGUCUGGGCUCCUGUUUAGGGUUCCUGCCUAGGAUCCCUGCCUAGCUGCAGGCCACCUGAUGGACAUCUAUUGGUACCUGCCACUCAUACCCAGUGCUACCAAAAGUAUUCUGAAUCCCCACGAUGAUGGGAGAGAGGAGUCUAUCUCCGGAAUUGUUGGGUGCUGGGAAAAGCUCAGAAAUGCACAAAAGUACUAUCCCAAAUGGGAUUUAACUUUUUCUUUUUUUUUUAAGUACAAGUAGUAGUAAUAAUAAUAAUAAUAAAGUGCAAGUACUUUUUAAAAAAUACUAUUUAAAUGUCCAGGGCAUUUCUGAGAGCUGUUUCUAAGGAAAUAAAAUAGUUCCAGAGAAGAAAAAGUAAUCACAAGCAGGGGCCAUAGCCCAAAGGUGGAGGUGUGGCCGAGCCCCUGGAGGUGCUGGUAGGAUGGGGGUUACAUGAUGCUGAGGAGGAGUAUCUCACAACAUGGAAUUUUAGUAUGACAAUAAGAUAAAACACAAAGCCACAGAGGUUAUAUGUGCAGGAGGGAAUGAGUGACACCCAAAUAAGUUUGGUAUAAGUAAGGUGACCAGGAGAGUAAUUUGACUGCUUUCAAAUAAUAUUCCUUGUUUUAAAAUAAUUUUCCUACUUUAAAAUACUCCUGAAAUUAAAAAGAAAUGAAUGAGGCAGGAGUCAUGAUGGGGUGUGAGGGCGCUGGCAGUGUUUGACUUCUUAACCUGGGUGCAGGGUGCACAGUCUGAGUCAACAGGACACCAGGAAGUGUGAACCUACCUGUAGAUGUGUUGUACUUCAAUAAAAAAUUGAGGGGCUGGGGAUGUGGCUCAAGCGGUAGUGCGCUUGCCUGGCAUGCGUGCGGCCCGGGUUCGAUCCUCAGCACCACAUACAAACAAAGAUGUUGUGUCUGCCGAAAACUAAAAAAGUAAAUAUUAAAAAUUCUCUCUCCUCUCUCUCUCUCCCUCACCUCUCUCUUUAAAAAAAAUAAAAAAUAAAAAAAUAAAACCAUGAACCCCCAAAUAAACUUUAAAAAAAAAUUGAAAUAUAGGGCUUGGGUUGCAAAGCCUGUGCUUGGCCUGUGCUCCUUAGCACCAUCAAAAAAGAAAAGAAGUAGGAAAAAAAGAUUAAUAAAAAAGAAAUGGUGAUCAACUUGUGUGCAAUAAGAUGAGAAAUGAAAACCUGCAUGGCCAGUGGCUAGUGGUUUUUUCCCCUAAAAUGUUCUCCUAUUUAAAAUUAGUAAUUCCGACUGCUUGGGAGGCUGAGGCAGGAGGAUCCCAAGUUUGAGGUCAGCCUCAGCAACUUAGUUUGAAUCCCUGUCUCAAAAUAAAAUUAAGCCAGGUGUGGUGAUGCACACCUGUAAUCCCAGCAGCUCUGGAGGCUGAGGCAAGAGGAUUGUGAGUUCAAAGCCAGCCUCAGCAAAAGCAAAGCACUAAGCAACUCAGUGAGACCCUGUCUCUAAAUAAAAUUCAAAAUAGGGCUGGGGAUGUGGCUCAGUGGUUAAGUGCCCCUGAGUUCAAUCCCAGGUACCCAAAAUAAAUAAAUAAAUUGAAAUAAAUUAAAAGGUCUGGGGCUGUAGCUCAGUGGUAGAGCACUUGCCUAGCAUGUGUGAGGCCCUGGGUUCCAUUACCAGUAUAAAUAAAUAAAUAGAUACUGGUUUUAAGAGUAUUUUCUUGAACUGGGGAUAUAGCUCAGUUGGUAGAGUGCUUGUCUCACAUGCAUAAGGCCUUGGGUUCAAUCCCCAGCACCACCAGGAAAAAAAAGAAGUUGUUUUCUCUGGGUUUUUUUUUUUUUUUUGGAAGCUGAAGAUAUGAGCUAUAGGAAGAUUGAUUGAAGAACUUAAAAUAUUUAAUGUUUGUGAAAACUUUAGUAGUUCCCAAUCUGGAGGUCCCUCCCCCCCACCCCCCACCAGCACUGGUUAUUAAACCCAGGGACACUUAAGCACUGUGCAACAUCCUCGGCACUUUUUUAUUUUUAUUAUUUUGAGACAGUUCUCAUUAAGUUGCCCAGGCUGAUUCUGCUGGCCUGUGGAACCCUCUUUGAGAACCAAUGUCCUAAAAUAACCCUCUAAGAUCAAUAAAUGUUCAUUGCAUCUGGUCAUGUUCAUUUUUAAAUUUUCUUUUUUUGCAGUGCUGGGGAUGGAAUCCAGGGCGGGGCACAUGCUAGGCAGGAGCUCUGCCACGGAGCCCCAGCCCUAGCCCUUGUUUAUUGCCUUGAAAUAGUAAACUUUUAAAUAAAUGUGAGCCACCAAAGGUCUCCCAAAUGGAGGGCCAUUGCUGAUGGAUAUCAAGGCAUUUUCUUCCUUCUGUAAACUGCAGCUGCUGUUAGGUCUUGAUUAGGAUCAUGUCUAUUGGAAGAGGAUUUCGGUGCCUGGAAUCAUCUGGCUCUGUGACCUGUGCAGAAUGAGUGGAUGUGAACUCACUUAUUGACACCUUCCCAAAACUCUAGCCUACGCUGAUACAGGGUGAGCAUCCCAAUCCAAAAAUCAAAAAUGCUCCAAAAAUAUGGAAUUUUCUAGGCACCAAUGGGACACCAGAAGAGGAAAAUCCCACACCUGACCUCAUGUGACAGGUCACAGUCAAAAUGCAGGCACACUGAAAAUAUUGUAUAAGCUUACCUUUAGGCUACAUGUAUAAAGUGUUUAUGAAGCAUAAAUGGAUUUCAUGUUUAAACGGGUCCCAGCCCGAAGAUAUUUUAUUAUGUAUAUGCAAAUAUUCCAAAAUCCUAAAAUACAUCUGGCCCAGUUUCAGGUAAGGGAGACUCAACCCGUAUUGGUGUUGCCAGAUACAAACGGGACAUACAGGCAAACUCAUUCAAGCAUGGGGAAAUGAACAAAUUAAAACUAUUGGCAUUAUAUCUUUAAAUAUCAGUGUAUGCCUGUUUAGGGGUGAAAAGGCAUUAAACAUUUAUUGAGCGAUUACUCAAUACCCUGUGUAGUGCCAGGCACUACCCAGAGAGCUUAUAUGCUUGUCUCAUUUUAUCCUCCUAACCUGGGUCAUCAGUGCCAUCGUUAUCCAAUUGCCAAAGUUGAGUAACUUACCCAAAGCCCCAUGGCUUGUAUGUAAUAGAGGAGUCAGGAUUGGCACCCAGGUCCAGAGCCUGUACUGUGUCACAGACAGAGCCCAAAGGGCACACGUUCACCUCCUCUCAGAACCCCCUGGGGAAGUGCCAGUGGUGGGAGCCCAGAGCUGUCUGCAUGGGGAGGCCAGGAGACACAUGGGGUUGAGGGAGGGCUUGGUUGAGGAGGUAGGAUUUGGAGAAGGCAGGCAUAUUUGGGAGGAGGAGGAAACAAUGUGCCGGAAAAGAUCCAGGACGGAAUGUGGUGUGACUGAUAUUCGCCAGGACUCUUGGGAGUCAACAAAAUGAAAUUCACAGAUCAGAAGCCUCAGAAAGUCAUAUCUCUGCUGUUUCUAGAGCAGAUUCUGUCUUCAGGAAUGGCUGGAUCCAGGAACCAUCAGGACCUUCCCUCUCCUUAUUUUCUGACUUUUCCAAAGAGGCAUAAUAGAAAAAGAAGGAGAAAAGGUUGGAAAUAAGGCUCAUGUCAGGUUGCCAGGGCCUACUUUCCAAUUGCCUGAGAAUACUGCUGGAGGGUUUGAGGUCCCUGAGAGGGGAUAUGCGUGCCAAGGGCUCUCUUCCUCCCUUUCUGAGUGAGUGUGGCAGCUGGUGAGCUUGCUGCUGGCACGCUGCAUCCCUGUUGCACUGAUAUGCUGUUCUGGUCUGGGUCCCGCCUGACGUUAACAAUCCAAUCUUGUGCAGCACAUCCCCACAGUCUCUGGAAAGACUGGCUCUAUUCAGUUGCAGACAGAGGAAUUGGAAGAGGAAAGAGUGUUCUAGUCUGUUUUUUGAAUACCAGAGACUGGGUAAUCCAUAAAAGACAGAAAUUUAUUUCUUGGAGUUUGGGAAGUCCAAGGUUGAGGGGCCUGUAAAUGGCAAGGGCAUCUUGUCGCAUCAUCCCAUGGCAGAAGGCAGAUGAGCAAGAGCUCAUGACCUGGGAGCCUAUUAAAGGUUGCACCUCUCAACAUUGUUGCAAUGGGGAUUAAGUUCCUAACAGAUGAACCAUAGAGAGGGACAGCAGAAACAACUGACCUUGUCUGUAGGAAGCUGGAAGCCCCAAAGAUCAAAUGGGCAAGAGAGAGCCCCCCAGAUGUGCGAACUUUUAAACGUGAUCCAGAGAAAGUCCCCGGCACUGACCCAUUAGAUUAACAUGUGUGGGGAGAGGAGGCAGGAGGCCACCUUUCUCUGGUUUCAUUUGUUGAGCACCUCCCCAGGUCUACCCCUUGCAGACUGCUUUAUCAUAGGCUGUAUUGUGACGAUAGUCAACUUAGAUGAUCAAGACUCUGCUAUCACUUUGCCAUUCUGGUCUCAGAUCUGUGGUUACCUGUCUACCUUUCUGGGUUGCUUCAUACUGUCCAAGGACAUGUUUCAUAUCUUUUCAUUUAAUCUGCAAGCCCACCACCCUGCCAGGAAGGGACCCACGAGGGUGGCAGAGGGUGGAUUGCCUCUACUCCCAUCUCUUCAGCAGAUGGAAGGGAGGUACUGCCUGCCUUUGACUUGGAGUUAGCAAGAUUUGAGAGAGAAUAUCCAGGAAGGGCUCUUAAAUGUCAGAACAUCUUCUAUGCAUACGUCUUAGGCAUGACUUCUAACCUGCUUGGAGGUACUUCCUCCUGACUCCUCCUGCAGACAUUGGGAGGGGAGCUCUCUCACAUUAUUGGUGAAUGAGCACAGUUGAGAAGCUGUGUCUCUGUGUUCCGCUCAUCCAGACCGUCCUACGCUGAAGACCUCACAAUACAUCCCAGAUGGCAUGGUUGUCUAGUGUUGAGGCAGGUGAGGUCAGCGGCUCACAUCUUCCUGUCUGGGCUGUUGUCUGAUGCCACGCAAGGUGGUUGCAUUGAGAGGUGCCUUGAGAGGGGAGGCUGGAUAAGAGGGGGUGCUGAAGAUAGUCAUCCCCCCCCUCUGCACAGCAGUGAGGCAAGGUGAGCUCAGGUGAGAGACUCAAUCGCCCUUGUUUCUCUAUUGCUUGCCAAAGGUCCUCUGCAGCAGAAAGGGUUAGUGUUUAGAUUUUUACAUAUUGAUGACUCUUCUUCCAAGAUUAAGAGAGAGAAGUAAUACAUACACUGUCCGGGCGGGAGACAGGGGAAUUGGAAAGAUGAUAUUGGAUUUCCUUUGAAACUCCAUGUCUGGAUGACAACGAAGACUCAAAACAGAGCUAUGGCAUCUCUCAUGAUGGUCCUGACCAUGUGACCUUAUCAUUAUGUGAAACAUUAUGUGAAACUCUAUGGCUCUCCAAGGUGGACCCGCCAUUGGGUUUUAUGGUCGGGGAGCUCAUGGGAAGUGGCAGAGGGUAUGACCGGCCACGCUCCAGUCAUAUCUGGAAAGAUACGCUUGACCCUCCAUGGUCUGGAGAUGGGAUGGGUCAGAGAGGAGCACGUGAUCAGCACUUGUAUGGGUUGUCACAGGGAAUAAGAUCAGUCACUAGCUAAUGUCUCAGUUGCACUCUGCUCUAGGGCUGCUGAGCCUUGCCAAGUUUAAGAGCAGUGUAGACACUGGGCAUGUGGUAGUGGAGAGCAUGGCUGUGAGUCAGGCUCACUCUCCCCACAGCUGGGAUCAGAACCUCUACUCGGGAAAAGAGGGGACACCUAGUAGGGUGACCCCUUUGUAUAUAUCAGACACAUGCCAAGAGUGCCACAAACCAUUUUAUAGACCAAGGACACAUGGACAGAGAAGUACCUAGUGUCCAGGGUCAUGUUGCUAAUGUGGGAAGGAAAAAGGUUUUGAAUUCAGGUCUGCAGACUCCGAAGUCAGGUUCUUCUUUGCCAAUAUCAACAUUCCUAGUAACGGUUCUUCAUGACUGAUUCGAAAUCCACAUGGACAUUGUGACCCUGGUUGAGAACCACCAAGUCACACUACCCUGGAUGAUGAAUGGGCUAGGUACUCAUUAUAAGUGUGCUGCCAGACACCAAAAUGAUGCUGCUUCAUACUGAGUGACUGGCAAGGGACAUUGACCUAAGAAGUAAGGGCUUAGGGCAGGAUGGUUGCUGACCUUUACCCAAGGCCUCCUCUAACACGGCCCCAGGGGUGUCCAGAAGGGAUGCUGUUCUAGGAAUGGGUCUGAUAGUUAGUAGUGAUUCCUCCUUCCCUCCAUCCAUCCCUUUUUCCUUCUUUCCUUCCUCUCCCUCCUUCUCUCCCUUCCUAUCUUUCUUGCUGUUUCUAAAGAACACUGAUUUCAGAGAUACCAUUUGGAUUUUCAAAGCACGCUCCAGGGAGACCUGGGGACUCUGUUGAGAAGGUUCAUGGGCUUCCUGGGGCGGGGGGGUGGGGGGAGGAUCGCCAAGAAUAGGAUGGCCCUUUCUUCCCAGUGGCCUGAACCAGAACACCACUUUCUUGCUGCUGUAGGUAUCCGGUGUCUAUGAGCUUCCAUCUGAAGAAGGACUAUUUUGGCUCUUUCUAAAAGUCUGACAACCGUGGCUUUCAAAUGAUGCUUUGCAAUCCCAUAGGCAAAACCACUUCGGCUUGUAGAGGACUCUCUCCCCUUUGAAUCCAAGAGACCUAGAGCUGUUAGGGAACUAAGUCUCUGUAAAGAUCCUUCCUCUAGCACAUCCUUUGAUACUGGGAGCAAGAAGUGACUCUCCUUGCUUGAGUGGCAAGGUUAGUGAGGCUCCCAGGAAUAAAAGAAAAUGUGUGUUGGUUGAUGUUGGAAGAGACAGGAAAAUAAAACCACCUAUAUGUUCUGGUUGUGGGCUUGGUCAUCGUAAAGCGAAGGAACAGGAGGUAAUGAGCCCCCUGUGUUUUAUUAGGGAAGUUCUUCUCCCUUCAGAAGGGACUCCUCAUUUCUUGGGUGCACACGCAGAAACCCUUUGAGGGCAUCCAGCUGGCUGCAGAACCGCUGCCCAUUUGAAUCUGAUCCAACUAAGCAAAUUGGCCUUAAUGGGGAAAUUUUGCUUGGCAGUAGAUGGUCUUCCUUUUCGUCACCUCCUCCUUCUCUUCCGGCUGCCCUUCACUUUGUCCAAGUCAUAGAAAGUUAAAAUAGACCCUCUGGCGUCGUCCCAGAGAAUCCGUUGGUUUCUUCCCCAACAUCACAUUCUUUCUCACAUUGUCUCCCUUCAGUGCUGAGAGCACACCUCAUUCCAACUUGAAAGGACUCUCCUGCUCUGAAUGGACUUGCUGUGUUCGUAGGAGGGGGAUGGGUCUGACCCACAGGGCCUCUUACAAGUUGGUUGUGAGUAGGCGCGUGUUCCCUCUGUUCUCCAUUAUGGUUAGCAUCUCAAGCUAGCCCACAAAAAUUCUCUUCCUUAGUCCUAAGAUGCUGCAUUGGUGUGACAUCUGUUGAGGUGACGUGGAGAAACCGACAGGCAGUUUGGGGGUGAACUUGACUUGAGUUCUAAUUCCAGAUUGUCUGGUGGCCUCAAGACACUUUGCCUCAGAACUUCAGUUAUCUUAUCAGUCCAUAAAAGGAGGACGAUGGUACCCACCUUGGAUGUGAGUCGAGCUUGGUUUUCCCCAAGGUGAGACUUUAGGCAAAACAAUGCCAAGUGCCUAGCACUGAGCAGAUGCUGGGGGGUGCUGGGGGGUGCUGGCUUCCUCUUGACCCCGCCGUCUGCAGUCGUGAGUCUGAAGACUCGUGAGAUAGUUGUAUGCUACUCAUGAAAAGGGGGUAGAAAAUGAAAAUGCUAUACUUUAGUAAUUAACCAAAAAAACAGGGAAACCAACCACGUGAUUGAAGAAAUAGAGCUGGUGUCUUUACUGCUAGUUGAUAAAAGGCAGAAUUAUUCAGUUAGAGAAAGGUGGAAUAGCUGGGCAAAUGAUGCACAGGGGAUUUCUAGACUCUUUCAGGGGCUUGGGAUGGUUAUUGCUUAUUUAUUUGGGGGUGAGUUCUCUUUAAGAUGUCCCAGGGAAAUGUGAACUCUUGCCCUUUUCUAUUUCUCAGAACCACCAACCCAGCUGGAGGGUAGGAAGAGACAGGAGUAAGUGGGCCCAAGGAAGGCAGGGUGUAGCUGCUGCACCUCAAGUACUUGACCCUCGGAUUGGAUCAUUUUUAACAAUCCUUCUCCCCGUACACCAAAGCUACGCUAGUAACAACCACACAAUGAUAAAUAAUAACCAUUAUUUUCCUGAUCUGUUGAUCAAUCCCAAACUGAACCAUGAAUGAUUCAAAAUGAUGAAGAAUAAAUUUCAGUUUUCAAGGUAUUCAAUUUCAGUAAAAUUUGUCAUGUAUGAACUAAUGUUUGAAUUUAUCAACAUUAUAUCUCACUGUUCCUCCUCUGUUUCACUGAUUUCCAUUUUAAGUGCAAACAGAAUUUCCAAGUGGGAGCUGGGGGUGUAGCUCAGUGAUGGAGCACUUGCCUAGCAUGGAUGAGGCCCUGGAUUUGAUUCCCCAGCACCACACACACACACGCACACACACACACAUGCACGCACACGCAUGUACACACACACAUACCCAUGCACACACAUGAUGCACAUACACACACACGUAUACACACACACACAAAGUAAAAAAAUUCCAGGUGAUCACAUAGAACAGCCAGACUGAAGUAACUCAAGUUAUUUGCCUUUUUUUAAAAUAUUUUCUAGUUGUUGAUAGACCUUUUAUUUUAUUUAUUUAUAUGCGGUGCUGAGAAUCGAACCCAGUGCCUCACACAUGCCAGGCAAGUGCUCUACCACUGAGCCACACAGCCCCAGCCCAAGUUAUUUGUCUUUAGAAUUACUACACUAGCAUUGUUUAUUCGAAUCUACUGGUUUUUGGGGGGAGGGGGGAAGAGGGGAAAGUACCAGGGAUUGAACUCAGGGGCGUGCAACCACUGAGCCACAUCCCCAGCCCUAUUUUGUAUUUUAUUUAGAGACAGGGUCUCACUGAGUUGCUUAGUGCCUUGCUUUUGCUGAGACUGGCUUUGAACUUGCGAUCCUCCUGCCUCAGCCUCCCAACCACUCGAUUACAGGGUGUGCCACCACGCCUUGCUGAGUCUACUAUUUGAACACAAGAGAUAUGUAGCAUUGCAGGGUCUGAGACUGGAAAUGUGCCCUAAGAGAACUUGAAUGAUUCUGAGCUACUGUGAAUUUACUUUUGAAACGAGCAUGUAGCUUGCGUGUCUGUGUUUGUGUAUGUACGUGUGCCGCAGUCCGGCUGGCUGCAGCAAAAUAACCGGAGGGUGACGAAUAACUUGUGUACGUUGAUACAGCAGGAGAGGGAGCCGUUUAUUGCAGGACAGGAGCAGUAUUUAUACAUUCCACACAGCUUAUCUAAUUAGCAUAAACUAGAUACAUCAGUCAACCAAUAAGGAAUCUCCACACUUAAUGGCUCGCUUUUGUUACUUCUCAAACCACUCCCUCUGGCAUUUUGCCAGGCACCAUCCAGACUUGUUUACGAACUCUAACAUUCCCCUGGCAAAAUGCCAGGUGUUAUUUUGACUUGUUUACAGACUCUAACAUACGUGUGACUUGAUCACUUUUCUAUGAGGGAUGUAAUGUACAUUUAAGAAUAGGUAAUAAAGAGGUGGACCAGUGGUGCCCACAUGCUGGUCUGUUCCCACCUCCCUGCCCAUGAGACACCACCAGCUGCAGCAGAAAAUAUUGGUUGCCCUCCACUCCCAAAUCAUUCCUGCUUCCUCUUCUAACAAAAGUGGAUUUAUUUGUUACUAAAUAUCAAUAUGCCCUGGAAAAUUAAAGCCCUCCUCUUCCUUCAGGGAGUGAACACAUUCUAAGCCAAUCAGGGUGGGCCAGUGCUCUUCUGACAGUGAUUGGUUUGGCGUGAGCAUGUGACUGGAUUCUGGCCAAUAGUGAGAGUAAAUCUUCUGGGGUGGAGGGUGGGAGUUUCCGGGAAAGAUCUUCCUCAGGACUGAAUGCAAAUCAAAGCAAACAAGCACAUAAAAAAAUAAGCUGAGAAAUAAGGAGUGAUGUUUCCUCAACAUAAGUGCUCACGUGCGUUCGUCCGCUUUCUGGGUUUGGACAAUGGGGUAAGGAAGGGAUGCCUGAGGCCACAAGAACCACCCUUCAGCCAUGACAGGACAAGCAGAGGGCACACACCAAUAAGCUGCAGAUGGCCCAACAAAAAGAUGAACCUCUGUCCCUGGAAUGUUUGCCACAUGAGAUAAUAGACUGGUGCCCUGCAAGCCACGGUCACCUGAGGUGCCUGUUGCUUGAAGCCAAAGCCGGUUGAGUUACCCUUGGACGUAUGUGGGUGGGGGCAAGGUGGUCACUUAGGGCAAUAAUGUCUCUCAGGGUAGAGAAAACCAGGGGAAGGAGACCACCAUGGGUACGUGCCUCCAGGCUCUGGCAGGAGAGGAAAGGGGGUCAGGGCAGAGAGCUGCUGUUGGCCUUGGAUGCCACCAUCCAACUGAACAUCUUGCCACCUGACAUGGGACCAGAAUUCUGGGUGGUGGUUGAGAGGAUGGUUCAGGGUCCCUGUGGGCCUUUGUAAGAAAGUGACUCUGUAGCUAGCGUGGUGACCACUAGUAAUCCAUCAGUCAUUGAACUCCCUGACCCCCUCCCUGGGGACAGCAAAUAAUAAAAUGGUUUAAAUGGAGACGGAGUGGGUGGCCCUGGGCCACUUGCUUCAGUCCUGGUUUUCUAGAAAACAGAGCCAUGAGUCAGGCCUUAAAAGGCGGACAUUCUAGGAGGGACAGGCCCAAAGAAUAGAGGGGAUUGAAGGAGGGGACGUGAAUGGAAGAGAGGCCACCUGCCGCCACCUAACCUCCAACCUCCAGGAGAAUCCGCGGCCUGUUCCACAGACGUGUCUUUUCUGGAAGGCGUCCAGAAAUCUCGCCAUGAAGCAGCACACAGAGGAGAGCUGAGGGGGCAACCUGGGGGCCUCCCCUUGAACUUCAGCAGGCCUGGUCUCAGGCACCAGGAGUGGGGCGCUGACAAACGGAAAGCAGGGGGCGGCCAUGAAACCUGGGACGGCACAGCCAUCUGUCAGUGACAGGGUCUGCACCCUCUGGUGGGCCGGGACGACCCAUCCCUCCCUGUGGGGCUCACCCGGAUGCCAGCAUCCCUUUGACACCUUCUCCUUCCUUCCGGUCCUCUCCGCAUCACCCUUCCAGGAUGCUUUCGAAACAAGUCCCCUAGGGCUGAGUGCAAGCCUCCAUCUGUGCCUUCGGUCGGCGAGAGUAAAGAGGAAUUAUGGCUGCUCCCUGCUCUGCUGGGCCUGGUGGAAUUACCCCAAAGCAGUGUUUAUCAUGCCACUGAGCUGGAUGCCCAUGUUUAAUGUGCUAUCUGCUCUGACCCCAGGUGUCUCUCUGCAUCACUGCUCUGCCACCAGAGAGCCUACAGUCAGUGGCUCGGCCGAGGGUCAUUGCUGACAAGUGUAUUACCGGUGUUUAUCCAUAUUAAAUCUUGUAUCCGUGGCUGCCUUUUACCCAUUUUUCUAAAUUCUUUCUGGUUCCUCAGCAGUUUCCUUCCUGCCUUGUCUUGCCCUUCUUGGAAAGGAGAACCCUUCUAUGUCAGGAGUUCCACUGCGGCCUCGUGUUCCAGUCGCCUAGGAAGAAUAAAGAUGUUACAGAAGGUCCUGCUACGGACCUGGAGCCUUCAUCUGGGAUUGGUACUGAUCCAUCCAUAAUUACAUCAUUCAGAGUGGUGGGGAGCUCACUGGUGGGACUGGUUUAAUUACAACAUACAUCUGUGAAGGUAGUGGCUGGCCAGCACUUUUCUCAUGUAAGAACAUAGUUAAAAGCUAUCAUCUUAAUCAUGUUUUAUAUAGGUAUAGCACUUUACACUUUAUACAAUGUCUCCACUGGAUUUUCCCUAAAGGGUACCCUUCUUUAUUUUUUCACUUUACAAAACAUUUUAUUGGAG
rnacentral:lncRNA from 1 species